rnacentral:lncRNA from 1 species
CCCCAUUCCAAAUGGCAUAAAUCGAAGUGAAUAACAGCCCGUGAUGUCAAGAUAGAUGAGACUUUUCAUAUGCUUCAUACCUCUAGGUAAUUGGAUGAGCUGUGUACACUGACUCAGAUUUAGUGUCUGAAGAUUUUGGAGGGAGGUGGUUGAUGCAGGCAAUUUUUUAAUGUUGGAAUUGGAGACAUCUAGAAACCUUAGAUGUUUCAAAUAACAAAUUGACUUUGGCAAUGUAUUGAGAUAGAUACCUAUAUGCAAGGCUCUCAGAUGCUUUUGUUGGGUGAAAUAAAGAUGCAAAUCAUCACUCACAGUGUGAUGAUAAACUCCAGAAAGCAAAAUUGAGCGUAGUGACCGAGAUUUGAAAUCCUUGUCUUUUGGAACAAACUGUGAUGUCCUGUAUGCACCCACAUGACGAAUUGUUUUAGGAAUUUGCAACUUUGUAUUGCCCUCAAUCAAACAACAUUCUCUCUUCAUAAUGUACUGUGCAAGAUCAUGGAUAAGAUCGUGCAUUUUACAUGAUAUGUUGCCCAGCCCAUCAUCCAUGACUUCUUGAAAAAAAGACCUCCCAACUAAUUCGUGGAAAAUCUCUUCACCCUUAUCGUGCAAAUCCAUUUGCCCAAUGCACGAAAUGAAGCCAUUUGCCAUCCAUAGAGCUACCAACCGCUCCUUCCGAAUGACAUAAUCUUUGGGGAAUAUAGAGCAAAAUGCAAAGCAUUGCUUCACAGCUGGCUUUAGAUUCAUAUAACUCAAACUCAAGGCAGGUAAUAUCUGGCUUCCUUCAUUCGGCAGAUCCCAAAUCUCACUUUCUUUCACAGACAGCCACUCCCUUUCAAUUUUCUUCGAGCGCAUCAGGCUUCCGACUGCUCUUAUAGCCAACGGAACUCCGCUACACUUGUUAACUAUCGCUGCUCCAAUGUUUUCCAAGUGACCAUACUCCUCUCUCCUUCUCAUACCAAAUGCAAGCUGCUUAAAUAAAAGCCAGGAAUCCUCAUCCGACAAUGUUUCCAUAUGUUGAACAGGAUUUGUGGCCAUUUUUUCUGCCAUAGUUCCCAAACGAGUAGUCACAAUAACUGCACUUCCUUUAGCUCCACAACUCAAUGCAUCUUUCAACUUGCUCCAGUUAUCAUGGUCAUCAUCCCAAACAUCAUCCAAUAUGAGCAAAAACUUCGUACCACGUAACUUUUCUUGGAGGCAUCGUAGAAGAGCAUCCAACUGUUGAAUAUUUGGAGUAGUGCGUUGAAUGGACUCGAUGAUGGCUGUUGUCAAUCUUUUUAUGUUGAAAUCAACUGAUACGCACACCCAAAUCCGCAAAUCAAAAUGCCCUUCUAUUCUUCCGUCGUUGUAGACUAAUUGAGCAAGUGUUGUUUUACCCAAGCCCCCCAUUCCACAUAUAGCAUAAACAGAGAAAUCAUCUGAACUGGUGAGCAGCAUGUUGACCAGAUCUUCUUUCUCCUUGCCCCUUCCAUAAAUUUCUGAUUCAUUCACCCAUGACCAAGUCUGACGCCAAUCAAAACUAUCUGCUUCUAUCUCCAAAGCCCCUUCUAUUAAAUGGAAAUUGUGUCUCUCCUUGGCAAUGGCAUCUAGUUUUUCUCUAACAUUCUUCAAUUUAUGCACCAUUUUUUGUCGAAAAACAAGUGGAUUAUGAUUGAUAGAAAAGAAGGAACUAACUCGAUAUUUGAGAUCUCUUGGCUGCUGAUGCCACUGAGCUUCAAUUGCAAACUCAUCUAGCAAAUCAUCAGCGUCAUAAGCUGCAUCCUUGAUGUCUCUGAGCCACACCUUUAUAGGCUCACUCUUCCACUGCUUCUCCUCUGCAUCUUGCAGCACAGCUCGAAUAGUUCUGAACGUGCGGUUGAGAUUUUCAAGCUCGGUCUCUAGGCCCCCAGCAAGUCCAAGCUCUUGAAGAAUUGGGGAAUUCAAGUUCCCCAUGAUUGUACUCGCGACAGCAGAAAUAAUUGCAUCAGCCAUAGCUUGUUAUCGAAUGGAAAAUAAUUGGAUGUUGACAAGAAGUAGAAAAUGUGCAAGGAUAACCAAAAGCAGGGAUGAGGAAACAGAGCAGUGUGGGAUGAGAAAUGGCAAAGGUGAAAGUGUAUGGUGAUGAGCUUUUCUUCUACUAUCGAUCUCUUUUCAUUAGUGAUUGAUAAUGUGAUGGAUCCAUUUCAUUAUUAGUGAUCUCUUCGCUGCAGUUUCAGAGAAGGAACGUGGCUGUGUUUGCUUAUUGGUUAGUAAAAGUCUUCGUCCCGCACUGGCCAGGCCGCUUGGGCUCCACACGGAUAUUAAGUAAUAUUCUAAAAGUAGUUUCCCCGCGCCUUUUACUUAUUCUACUGUACACAUAACCCGCAAUGUUGCGGAUUACUUUUUUAUAAAAAAUAUUAAAAAAAUAAAAAUUUAAAAAUUUUGAGUUUUUCUGCAAAGCUAUACUAAAAAAUCUUGAGUUUAGCUGCAACACUUAAUCUAAGAGUAAUAUUUAUAAUGUUAAUAAUAAAAUUAAACUUGCAUGAUCCAAGUUUAAGUUAGUCUGGCUGCAACAUCGGACCCAAGAAUAUUGGAUGUGGGUCUGACUAUAAGAUCGUGUCAUAAAAAUAUGAUAAUUAAAUAGAUUAAUUAAAAAAAUAAAGAAAAAAAAUCAAUAGAAAGAAAAAAACUAAUAAAGAAAAAGAAAAAAAAUGAAUUAAUUAGGUUAACCCUUUAAACCAGGUUAUCCCGUAAAACCUGAGAUUCACGUCAUAAAAGUUUGAUAAUUAAAUAGAAAAAAAAAUGACGGGUUUACCCAGAAUUAACUGGGUUAACCUAUCAAAUCAAGUUAACUCGUCAAGCCUAGGAUACGUGUUAUGAAAGUAUGAAAGUCUGAUAAUUAAAUAGAAAGAAAAUUAACUUUAACAAACUAAACUAAAUGAAAAAAAUAACUCGUCAAAUCAAGUUAACCUAUCAAACCCGAGAUCUGUAUUAUGAAAAUCUGAUAACUAAAUAAAAAAAUUAUCAUUAACAAACUAAAUCAAACAAAAAAAUUCAUUAAAAAAAUUAAAAAGAAAAAAAUAGUUAUAUAAUAUAAUAAUAAUAACAAUAAUAAGUAAAUAUAUUAGUAAAAGGCGUGACAUGCCCGCGCGAUGCCGCGGGCUUGUGGCAUGCUUAUACAUUAUCGUGGAUUUGUGAAAAAAAUCAUAUAAAAAAAUACAGUUAUCAUCCACAAUAUUUUAAAGGAAAAAACUACAAAGUUAUAUUCUCAACCAGCUCAAUAUUAAAAAAAACAAAAUCGACAAAAACAAUUAUGAAAAAAAACACACAAAAAAUGAAAACAAGAAGAUGACAAUUUUGGAAGAAAAAAGACAAAAAACAAAUAAUAAAAAAUAGGAAAAAAAACAUGUGGGGAAAGUUAAAGCUAAAUUUUCAACCAGCUUAAUAUUAAAAUCAUUUAAGAAAAUAUUGUAGCAAUUUAUAGUAUUUUGUAAAAAAAUAUAUAACUAUAAUUCUUAAACAGUUCAAUAUUAAAAAAAAAUUAAUAAAAAUAAUUUUGAUGGAAAAUAAUUGGAUGUUGACAAGAAGAAGUAGAAAAUGUGCAAGGAUAACCAAAAGCAGGGAUGAGGAGACAGAGCAGUGUGGGAUGAGAAAUGGCAAAGGUGAAAGUCUGGUGAUGGUCUUUACUGUUGCUAUUGAUCAAUUCUUCAUUACAUUAAAUGAAGGACGAAUUUUUUGCUUUUAGAAGUUGUGAUGUGAGCUUUAAACAAAUUAUAUGUUUGAAAAAAACCUACCAUACCUCCUAAGAAUGUUUUUAGCAGUGUGGUAACUGUUAUUUUUCAAAUAAUUUUUUGUACCGAAAGGUACGUCAAUGAUUUUUUUAUUUUUUAAAAAUUAUUUUUAACCAUAUUAAAUUUUAAUAAAAAAAUAAAAAAAAAAUUUACAUCUUAGAAACACAAGUUGAACCGUGUUUCCAAUCACUGCCUAAGCUGCCGUCCUUGACUAUUAUAUUGAUUAGGCUCCACACGGUCGAGACUUGACUAGCUGUGCUUACAAUAAAGCAAUUCAAUUUUCAAAGAAGGAACAUGGCUGUGAUUUGAAGACAAGAUUUGUCUGCCGGUGUGAACCCAAACUUUUGUUCAAAAUGUGAGCCAAAAUCCAAUCUAAAUUAAUUUAGUAUAUAAAAAAGUUGUAUUUUUUUUUUGUAGUUGUUAUAAUUCUCUCUCAUCAAUUAAAAAAUUUUAAUCUUUAAUAUUGAAUUUUUAGGUUUAAAAAAGGUAAAAAUAACAAGUAAGCAAUUCUUUUUCAUGUUUGGUUUGUUUAUGAAAAAAUUAAGAUUUAUAAAGAUUUGAAGUUUAUGUUUUUAAAAUGAAUUCAUGAUUAUUAUGAAUUUGAGGUUAAGUGAUUAAUUUUGGAUGUGUUGUUAGAAAUAAAAAUUUGUGAAUUAAUUUGUUAAGGGUUAAGAAAUUCGCUUCAACUUUGCUAGAAAAUAUGGACAAAAUAAUUUUGAGGUUGAAGAUAAAGAAAUUGUAUUUUGGUCCUUGAUUUAUAAAAAUUACAGUGUAGUUCCUAAACAUUGAAAAAUUAUAAUUUGACCUGUAACUAUAUUUUGGGAUUCUGAGUGGUAUUAUUAUGAGGUUAAGGAUAAUGACUCUCAGUUUAAUAAUUGAUUUAGGAUAUUUUUAGUCUGGUCCUUUAAUUUUGAAAGUUUACAUUUUAAUCCCUGAACUUUAAAGAAAUUAUAGUUCGGUCCCUGGUUCAUUUCUAGAUAGAAUUGAAAAUGGUUUGUUGGUAAAAUUUCAAUAUGGUUAUGUAUUUACAAUUUGCUUCAAUUUUGGUAAAAUUUUGUUUUGGCUCGUGAUUUCUAAAAAAUGUUGUUUUAGUCCUUAAACUCAUAAGAAUAAACCUGGUUUUAUUUUAUGCAUUGGAAUAUAUUUAUUUGUUGUUUUGGGUUGUUUUUUAGUAUAUUCUGGAUAUUUGUUAUAGGCUCUCCUAACAAUCAUCAAUAAAAUUUUCGGGUUUUUCAUUUGAUAUUCCUUUUAGUUAUAUAUUUUCUAAGUGAGUGAAAUAAUCUUUUUAAUAUUUAUAUAGGUUGCUUUAUUUUCUGAAUACUGAUUUAUUCUUGAAUUUAUACUCGCAUUCUAUUAAACUAAAUUAUAUUCGAUAUGAUAUACAUUUCUUUGAUGAUUCUGCGAAUACCUAGCUGGUAAGAGAGGCAUCAACUUGUUGUGACCGAUCCUCCCACAAUGAUCAUUUUCGGGUGUCAUAUGAUCUUUGACAUAUAUUCAACUACUUUAUAAUAAUAUGCUUAAUAUGUGAUCCUCCACAAUGAUCAUUUCGGGUGUCAUCUGAUCACCUUCGGGUAUCAUCUGAUCUUUGACAUAUAUUCAACUAUUUUAUAAUAAUAUGCUUAGUAUGUAUAUGUUUAUCAAGAUAAAUCAACUUGCAAACUAUUAAUAUCUAAAAUAUAUAUUAAAUAUUAUUCCCUCAAUGAGUUGGUUGCACUCACCUUUUAUUUUUAAUAUUAUUUUAGGUUUUUAGUUUCUGUUAGCAAGUGGCCUUUAUUGAGUAUUCUUGCUUCUUCAAUUUUGAUUGAUAUGUCUUGCUUAUUUUAUAAGACUUUCCUUUUAGUUUUGAUUCGAUGUAUUAGACACUUCAUUAUUACUUUAUUUUAAUUAAGUUUAGAUUUUAACAAUGUAAUAAGUAUUAUGAAUUUUUUUUUUAAUUACUGAUAAGAAGUUUUGAACUAUCAUUUAGUUUUAUUAAUUUUGAAUAAUAUAAUAUUUUUAAAGAUAAUGAAAUGCUAUAAAUUUUUAGAUAACUUAUUCUUUUAAUAUGUUUAUUUUAAAACUUAAUGUAAAUGAAAUAUUCUUUUGACAUCGUUUCUAUAUUAUUAGUCAUGAACUCGGGAUUCAUAACUUGAAUUGCCUUGUUUGUUAGCAAACAUCUUCUUCUCUACUCUCAUUUUUUUUAAUCAAUGGCCAGUGGCCGUCGGUGACCCCAUAUCCAUGUAGCCAAGCUGCGCACUGGCCAGACCCUCGGAAACACCAAUAUCUUCCAGCGCUAGUGAAUGCAAGUUGCCCAAGAUUGUAAUUGCAAGAGCAGAAACAAGUGCAUCAGCCAUGUUUUUAGGGAAUCCAUGAUCGAAGAACAGUGCAUAGUGAACUUUUUUUUCCCCGGAUUUAAUUCAAAUAAAUGUGUUACCUUCCAAUUAAUCUGGUAAUUACAGAAGAAAGAAGGGAUCUUGAAUAACAAGAAGAACAACAGAAGAAAAGAAACAGAGAGAAAGAGAAACUUUUAGUAACAUUCAACACUGGUUUUUUUUUUUUUUUUUUUUUUAACAAAAUCAACAUUCAACUCACACCAUUAAUAUUGUAUAUUUUUUUUUUUGUUAAUCAUAGGUACCCCAUGUUAGCUUUCACAUACCAAACGAAGUCUUUACAACCCGAAAUCAAUUUUUACAUAAGAUUAAAUUGCAUGUUUGAAACGCGGUGAAAAUUAUAUUCUAAAACUUUUAAUUCUUUACUUAAGAUAAAUUUUUUAUAUAUUUUUAUUAUUUUGAUGUAUUUUAUUAAAAAUAAUUUUUUUUAAAAAAAUAAAAAAUUUUAUUUUAAUAUAUUUAUAUACAAAAAAUAUUUUAAAUCACCACCAUUAUUUCAAUUUCAAAAAGAUAAAGCCCUGUGACCCGUGGCCCUAAAAGAUUUAAUGCUAGAAAAAUUCAAACAGGAGAAAGCAAACCUCCAAGCCCAUAACUAAAUACGGCUAGACCAACUCUUUGAGUUUCUAUUUACAUUGUUUGCUUGCUAUUGAUACUUCAUUCAUGGACAGACCGGAGUCCAGCCUGACGUGCAGCAUCACGAACUUCAGGUUUCUCAGUUCGCCUCUUCUGUAUGAGUAUGACCUCCAAAGUAGCACCUACAAUAGACCUUGAGAAAGGCUUUUUUGUAGCACGACGUCUCUUCGUAAAAGUUUCAGCAGCAAUGUCCUGUAAUUAUUAGGAAAGUUGUAUCAAAAUCAACAUCAUGAGUUCUUAUCUAAAGGGAAACUCAUCCUACAAAUAGAAGUUAAUUGGAAACUACAAAAAAAUAGUCACCUUCUUAUGUUGCUUCCUGUACAUUCUGUCCAGGUUAACUUUGAGGGCUUCCACCUGCUGUGGAAGUAUCUCUUGCAUUUAGAGUUGGCAAAGAGGAAGACCUUAAUUGAUUGAAAAAGCACCACUUAUUAGUUUCAUGGAUUGUAUUGCAGAAGAUAUUAAAUAAAAACAAAACACAAUACGCCUUCGACUCCGAACUGCAAAUUACCUGGGAAUCUGAGCGAACGAAUCUGAUGCCCUUGCCAGGAUAUGUCUUCGCCCCACUGAACCGGCAGAGUUCAGUCCUGAAAUCUUCCAGACCAGACAAGUUUGAUGCUCGUCAUGAUAACAUAUUGAAAACCUCAGAUGAGAUCAUUUGCAUAUAAAAAUGCUUCAUUCCAAGACAUAUAAGUUUGAUGGUUAACAAUGGCGUAUCUAAAACCUCGAUGAGGUUAUUCGCACGGUCAUGACGAAUAUUCUCAGAGGUGCAUCAGAUCCUAAAACCCCUUGGCAGAGGUCCAAAAACCCUUUCAAGUGGUCACAGACAGCAGGAAACAAUGAACUCUCGUCCCAACUUCAACUUCAUUGAAGCCUUAGCCAUUCUGUUCUCUUUGCUAUGUUUUCACUAGAAGCAUAUUUAUGGAAGAGAAAUCAUGGAUCUUUGGAACAACAUCUGCAUAAAUCUAAUUCAAACUCUAUCAUUGCAAUCCCUUUUGAAUUUCAUCACUUUUUUUUAAAAAAAAAAGUGCUAAAAAGAAUGUAAAGUUUCUGAGAGUUUUCUUUCUUUUGCCUUGUUAGGAAAUUCUUUAUUAAGAAUGUAUAAAAAAAGAGUAAAUGGAGCUUUGCUUUGUUCUAGAUGAGCAUCCAUGCAUGGUUUAAUAAGUAGAGAAUAAAAUCUUCCAUGAAAGCUUUAGUGUGAUAGACUUGAAUUACAACAAAGAAACUGACAAGCUGAGCACUAGAAAAGAUCAUUCAAGAUCUCAAUUAUGAAGGUUAAAACCAAAGCAUAAAGCAUAUUAUACAUUACAGCAAAAUCUAAUCGAUCAUAGUCCAAGAUCUUACAUUUAUGCUCACCCCCUAUCCUUGUGCAUAAAAACAAAAAAACAAAAUUAGGUUUAAAAGCUACUAUUUAAACUGUAUUACAUAUAUAUAUAUAUAUAUAUAAAAUUUCAUAUCAAAACCAUAUAAAAAAAAUUAAGAUCUUAAAUUUAUGCUCACCCCUAUCCCUAUUUUUUGUAAUCAAGAUUCCUGAAAAGUAUGAUCUCAAAGCUACCUAUGUUUGAGUGAUUUGUACCGUACCAAAAUUUUAAUUCAUGUGCGCUAACUUGAAAAGCAAAUGAUCUGAAAUCAAAAUGGAACACAUGACUAGUGUGAUUAUGGACAUGUUGCAAGAAAAGGUUUUUACUCAAGAAAUUACUCGAAAAAAAGGUGAAAGAUGUUGUUCGGACGUAUAUUAGGAAUUUUAAUGAUUAUCAAUUACAGGUUGAAAGCUUUAGAAAAUAUUAGUUUGGGAAGGUAUGUUCUUCCCAAACUAGCUUUACAAAAUGUUAGACGGAGAAAUAUUGCAUUUGAGCAGGAAAUUGUAGUUUUACACAUAGUUUUAAAACCCGGACCGGCCCGGCGGAUUGACCUGGGACCCGGCCGACCCGGGCAUGGGACCGGUCUGGGUGGAGGUCAAAACCCGCUUGGGAAUUGGUCCGGCCAGACCCGGUCGACCCGAGACCCGGCCGCAAACCCGUUAACUUUUUUUUUUUGUUUUUUUUUGUGUUAAAACGACGUCGUUUUGAUUUUUUAAAAAAAAAUUAAAAAAUAAAUUUUGACCCGGCCGACCCGGUCAAAAUCCGAAACCCAGGCCUUAGACCGGGCCGGGUCUUAAAACUAUAGUUUUACCUUUUCUUACUCUUGUUUCAAGAAAUUUGAAGUACUCUUCUAUUUGUGAAUAAUUUAAUAUUUCUUUAAGUGUAUUUUUUAUUAUUUCAUGUCAAAACCAUAUAAAAAAAAACAAUUAAAAGGGCACAGUUUUGAUAUUUUUAUGGAAAAAAUUAAUUAACAAAAUAUUUUCAAUUAUAUUACUAAACAUGCAUCUAAGCGACAUGACUCACUUGUUUUUGGUUGGUGCAUGUUACAUACGUUAAUGACCAUUAAUAAUUUUUUUUUAUUAUUGAAUUUGUUUUAUUGAAUUUUUUUUAAUUAUAUUAAAAAUAUUAUUAUUAAAGUUUCAAUGUGUUUUCAAUUCUCUUUUCUCUUUCUUGUUGAAGUUUGUAAAACUAUUUUUUAUGUAUUUUUUAAAUAGAUGCACUUUCUAACUAUAAGAAUUUGAAAAAAUCACAAGUGGAAAUUGCUAUUUACAUCAAAUUAGAAUAAUUUUAAAAUAUUUUUCUUUGUGUUAAUUAGCUAUUUAAAAAAACAAAAAAAAUGUGAUUUUAUUUUUAAAAAACUCCCAUCUUAUAGCAUUGGAUUAGGAUAAAGGUGCUUUCAAAAUUUGUGCGUAGAAUAUGUUCUUUCUAAUAUUCCGAUCAAUGACCAUCCAAUGGGUUUCUUGUAACCAUCAUCAAUCCAAUAUUGGAGAUAAGGUUUCCAGAAUCAUAAAGCCCUGCCGUUUUGGCACCUGAUGCCAACAUUAUUGGCCUACAGAAAGACAAUCAAAACUACUAAAGGCCAAUCACCGCCAUGCGAGUAAAGAUAUGUUUCGGAUUGAGUUUUGAAAAUAUUUUUGAAAAAAAAUGAUUUUUUUUUUAAAAAUCAAGGUAAUAUAAUGGGUCAUGUAUACAAAUAAAAUUACUGACAUAACUGAUUUCGUUUGUAAAAUCCAUCAAUAAAUUCAUUUGUAAACUGUUAACUUCUUCCUGACACUGUUUAUCAUGUCAAUUAUAAAGAAAAUCAUUGACAAAAUAUUCUUUUGAUAUUUCUUAGAGAACUUUGCAACUAUUUACUUUCCAAUUGCACUAUUAAUUAUUAUUUUUUAUAGAUAAAAUCACUGACGGAUUGAAAAUUUAUCGGUGUUAUCUGGCGGGUUUCUGAAAAUCUUUUAUUAAAUUAAAUAUUACAGACGAAAUCACCGAUGGAUUGAAAAGUUGUAGGUGAUAUUUGGCGGUUUCUGAAAAUUUUGUAUUAAAUUGAAAAUUUAAAUUAACUAUUACAGACGAAAUAAUUGACGGAAUGAUUAAAAAUAUUAAUAUUUAAUUAUUCAUCUGUAAAACACCCAAUAAAAAGACUAGAAUCCUUUAUUUCACAAUAGACGUGCCUCUUUUUUCUUCUUCUUCUUUUUUUUUUUUUUAAAAAAAAACAUCAACAUCCCUUUCUUUCUCUUCUCUCCUCAACUCCUUAUUUAUUUAUUUAAACGCUGCUUUUCAUUUUUAUUUUAAUGCUAUGUUUGUUUAUGAAGUUGCAUCUGUGUUUGAAGCAAAACACAGGAGUAACAUAUUUGAUAAUAAAAAAAACAUCAUUUACUGUUUAUGGGCCCCAUUGUUAUCCACCUUUGCAACGCAGAAUGAGACAAAGUAGCUCUUCGCUGCUUUUGUGGAGAGUGAAAAGUGGAGGGUGACUCCACUAUUCCGGUUGGAAUGGGUCCAAUUCAAAGCUAAAAAUGCAUUGAACCGGAUCCGAUCCAGUAAAAUAAAAAAAUCAUUUUUUUUAUUUUUAAUUGUGUUUUAUUAAAAAAAAAUUAGUGUUUUAACAUUAUUCAAUGACAUUAUAUAAAUUAUACGGGGAUUGCUUAAUGACGUAAUAUUUGUAGAAUUUGAUCAUAAUCCUAAUUUUAUUCAUGAUGUUGUUGUGCGCUUAAGAAACCAAGAAAACUGUAGUCAUUGUUGAAUGUAUUUCAUAUGUAAUGGAAUUGUAGAUAGUUUAAUGGAACAAUAAAAAAUAUUUUAUAUAAAGUAUUAUUUAUUUUAUGAUGUAAUAACAGUAAUUAAAUCUACAAUAUUUAAAUUAAAAACCAUCAAUAGUAAUAUAUAUUUUUUGAAAUUAUUUUAUAAUCUCAAUUUGAAAAGCAUUCUUAACCAAAUACAUUAAACUAUUUUUUAGUUCAACUUUAAUUUUAACCAAACAUAUAUAAAUAUCAAACCAACCUUAACUAAAAAUACUUUUUAUAAAAUACAUUUUUCAAACCACAACCAUAAAAGCUACCACAAUACCAAACACACUCCAGGUGUGUUUAUUUCUUGGAAAGUGGUUUCCCAGAAAUCACUUUCCAAACUUUCAUGUAUUUAUUUGCCAUUAUGAAAGUUGAUCAACAGAAAACACUUUCCAGUCAAAGAAAAAUUUGGCUUGGUUUCCAGGAAAGUGUUUUCCUUUUAUUUUGGGCGAAAAACACUUUCCGGAAGUUGUGAAAAAUUUAGAAAUGUCAUAUUAUUUGUUGAUUAUAUCAAAUUUGGUCCUCAAACUUUUGAUUGCUAUAUAUAUUUUGUUUUGAAUAUUUGUUUUUCAAUUUCAUCCCUUAGAAUUGAAUUUUUAUAUAAACUUUGGUCCUCAUUUUUAUUUUGCUUUUCCCUUAUUAUUUUUUAAUUGGAAUUUUUUAUCUAUCAAAUCUGGUCCUCAUUCUUUUGAUUGUUAUUUAUUUUAUUUGAAAUAAUUUAUGAAAUGAUAAUUAUUAUUAUUUUAAUUUCUUCAUCUUUUUAUUUUUUUAUUUUUUAGAUUUGAUCUCUAUUAUUUUGAUUAUUAUUUAUUUUAUUUGAGAUAAUUUAUAAAAUUAUAUAUAUUUUUUUAAUUUCAUUCUCAUUCAACUUUUUAAUUUGUAAGAUUUAUUCCUCAUUAUUUUAAUAAAUUUUAAAAAAUAAAAUAUUAAUAAGUUAUUUUCCAGCUCAUUUUCCAUGACAUAACCAAAUACUAAAAAGUAUUUUCUAAUUUAUUUUUCAUGAUACUAUCAAAUAUUGAAAAAUAAUUUAUUUUUCUAAAAUUUAAUUUUUUUUAAAAAAUUUACUUUUCAGUAAAUAAAUAGGAACUUAACUGACACCUCCCAAGUCCUAACGGAUAUCAUGGACCCGUAGGGUAGAUAUUGCCCCUUAGGAUCUUGCUUUCUUCUUCUAAGGCCCGCAUGUUGAUAUUGACCAUCUUGGGCACUUAUGGAACUUGGCCUGGGUUGACAGGUCGACCUGCGACCUGUUUACCCGGGCAUUCAAACUGGAUUGGAAAUUAAUUUUGUUAAACAAAGGUGAUAUGUUCUAUCAAUUCAUAAUUAUCGAUUCGAUUGAUCUAAUUAAUUUUUUUUUAUAUAAAAAACAACUUCGUUUAUUUAUGUUUAUUUAAUUAUUUAUAACUUUUUAUGCCUAAACGAGCCUGGACUUGGAUCGAAUCAGAUGACGAGCCUGGUCUGAUAACUUAGCCUUGAAGUUUAUUCUGUUAGAUCAUUAUUGUUUACUGUGUUAGGCAACAGAUAUCCCUCUAUUCAUACUCAGCUUAAUUUUUCAAUUUUGACUUUUAAAAAUAUGGAGAGAUAUAUGUCAAAUUCCGAUCGGUUCUGAUUUUAAGGAAAAAUAAAAAUUUAUUAAGAAUUCAAAAACAAAUUCAAAAAAUGCUAUUUUUUAUAUAAUUUGAAAAAAUAUAUAUUCUAAACUUUGUUUUAUAAAGCUAAAAAAUUACUAAAAAAUAUAUUUAAUUUAUAUUUAUGUAUACGAUAAUUGUUAAUUUAUUUAAUACUUGUUAAUUUAUUUUUUAACUUUAUUUUAUAAAGCCAACAAUGAUUAAAAAAUAUAUUUAAUUUUUAUUUAUUUAUACUAUACUUGUUAAUUUAUAUAACACUUUUUUAUGUCUUCAUCAAAAUUUUCGUGAAAAAUUAAAUUGAAAAAUCAUGGCUAUGAAAAAUAAACAAUACUCAUUUACUCCCUCAAAUAUGUUUCAUCAGUAAAUCCAUAAUUUUUCUUCGCUGAAUAUCAUUAGAUUUUCAUAAAAAGAUAUGAUUAUAAAGGUGAACAUCUUAGUGAUUUUUUAAAUUUUAUUAUUAUUUUUAGAGUUCUAAAUAAGAUUUUCUUUAAAUUAGAACCAAUAGAAAUCUAACUCGUGUUCUUCCAUAUCUUUAAAAGACAAAAUUAAUGAAAUAUUAGGCUUACUCUGAACAGAGAGAUCUAUACUGCCUAGUAGACAAAAUCAUAGAAACCCAAUUAUAUAAAUUUAAACCAUAAGGAUAUCUUUAUCAAAUAUCAAUAUAUCAGAGAGAUUCAUAGUACCAUUAAACCAAAGUUACACCUAAACUUGUCAUGCAAUAAAACACGUGCAUAUUCAUACAAUAAAAAUAAUAAAUAGACGUAUUUCUCCCUUUCUAUUACAAAGAUCAUUGCAAUACUUAGUAGAUGUAAACGGAAGGGAUGUGAGCUAUCUUAGGCCAGUCUUCUCCUCGCUCCUUCUCGCACCUUUUCUUCAAAUUUGGACAAUUUUCAAUUAUCAAGUCGCUGAGGUUGCUGAGACUCUGUAGCCCUUCUGGCAAACAUACCAAAUUAGGGCAUAUACAGAGUGUUAGAGAUCGGAGAGAAGUAAGAUGUUGGAUACUCUUUGGCAAUGAAUUCAGCUCUGGACAAAGUCUAAGCUCCAAAUCCUCAAGUACUGUCAGAUAUUGCACUCCCUCGGACAGAGACACAAAUUUAUCACAAUUGCUAACAGAUAACUUACGAAGAGAUGAUAAGCCGGACAACCCAUUCAUUGGCAGAGUGUAUAAUCUUGUACAACUAUCUAUCUCUAAAACCUCCAAAGAAGUGAGUUUUCGAAGACCUUCCUCUGGCAAGCUUUCAAGUUCAUCAAAAUGCCGGAUACUCAAGCUUUUAAGAGCUGAAAGGUUGUCAAAUACCUUAUUUGACAAAGACGGCAGAUUUCUCAUCCCAACCAUAUAUAAGAACUCGAGGAGUGUAUGAUUUUGCAAGAACCCAUCUGGAAGCAGCCUCACAUCAAUCCAUUCAAUAGAAAGGAAUGUGAUAGAAGUAAAUUUCAUAACUGACAUCAGUAACGAAGCAUUGCCUCUAUCGAUGAUUAACCUUUUGACGGAAGGUAUAAUUGGUAUUUCGGUCAACAAGGGGCAACGAACUACAGAUAAUUCUCGAAGACGAGGAAAACUACACGGAGCCCAUUGCUCUAGUCUCUUCAUUGAAAUAAAUUUCAGCCUCUCCAAAGAUGGGAAUGGAUUUUGCUCAUCUCCAUACACAUGGCUGUCAAUACACUUCACACCAUCCAUUCCAUCUAGUUCAAGAUUCUUGAGGAACUGUAAUUUCCCAAAUGGUGGAAGUUGUUCACAGUUGCCACAUGCUAUUAGCUUCAUCUCUACUAGAUUCGGUAGCAUCAAGUUCAAGUUCAUCAUCCACUUUGGAAAUUUUGAACCCCCAUAUCCAAUUAAUCUCAAUUCCUUCAGAUUUGAAUGAGGUUGAAGCCCAUCAAGGACAUCCUCAUUAUUUUCAGCUGAUUGCACACAAGUAAAAGGGCGGCGACCUCCAUUCUCAUUCCAACAUAAAUUCAGUGAUAGAAGAGUUGUCUUCAACAUCAAAUUGGCACUUCUGGCAUCUGUUAAAUUCUUAACAUUAACAAGAUCUGUGAUGCUUAGUUCACCAGCAAGAUUAUUCAGCCUUUCUAGCUCCCCUAAGUGACGACCAUCCUCCUUACCCACAAUGAACAGCCCAAGUUUUCGCAGGCAUGUUAAUUGCCCCAUUCCAAAUGGCAUAAAUCGAAGUGAAUGACAGCCCGUGAUGUCAAGAUAGAUGAGACUUUCCAUAUGCUUCAUACCUCUAGGUAAUUCGAUGAGCAGUGUACAAUGACUCAGAUUUAGUGUCUGAAGAUUUUGGAGGGAGGUGAUUGAUGCAGGCAAUUUUUCAAUGUGGGAAUAGGAGACAUCUAGAAACCUUAGAUGUUUCAAAUAACAAAUUGACUUUGGCAAUGUAUUGAGAUGGAUACCUAUAUGCAAGGCUCUCAGAUGCUUUUGUUGGGUGAAAUAAAGAUGCAAAUCAUCACUCACAAGGCGUGUGUGAUGAUAAACUCCAGAAAGCAAAAUUGAGCGUAGAGACCUAGAUUUGAAAUCCUUGUCUUCUGGAACAAACUGUGAUGUCCUGUAUGCACCCACAUGACGAAUUGUUUUAGGAAUUUGCAACUUUGUAUUGCCCUCAAUCAAACAACAUUCUCUCUUCAUAAUGUACUGUGCAAGAUCAUGGAUAAGAUCGUGCAUUUUACAUGUCAUGUAGCCCAGCGCAUCAUCCCUGACUUCUUGAAAAAAAGACCUCCCAACUAAUUCGUGGAAAAUCUCUUCACCCUUAUCGUGCAAAUCCAUUUGCCCAGUGCUCGAAAUGAAGCCAUUUGCCAUCCAUAGAGCUACCAACCGCUCCUUCCGAAUGACAUAAUCUUUGGGGAAUAUAGAGCAAAAUGCAAAGCAUUGCUUCACAGCUGGCUUUAGAUUCAUAUAACUCAAACUCAAGGCAGGUAAUAAUAUCUGGCUUCCUUCAUUUGGCAGAUCCCAAAUCUCACUUUCUUUGACAGACAGCCACUCCCUUUCACUUUUCUUCGAGCGCAUCAGGCUUCCGACUGCUCUUAUAGCCAACGGAACUCCGCUACACUUCUUAACUAUCGCUGCUCCAAUGUUUUCCAAGUGACCGUACUCCUCUCUCCUUCUCAUACCAAAUGCAAGCAGCUUAAAUAAAAGCCAGGAAUCCUCAUCCGACAAUGUUUCCAUAUGUUGAACAGGAUUUGUGGCCAUUUUUUCAGCCAUAGUUCCCAAACGAGUAGUCACAAUAACUGCACUUCCUUUAGCUCCACAGCUCAAUGCAUCUUUCAACUUGCUCCAGUUAUCAUGGUCAUCAUCCCAAACAUCAUCCAAUAUGAGCAAAAACUUCUUACCACGUAAAUUUUCUUGGAGGCAUCGUAGAAGAGCAUCCAACUGUGGAAUAUUUGCAGUAGUGCGUUGAAUGGACUCGAUGAUGGCUGUUGUCAAUCUUUUUAUGUUGAAAUCAACUGAUACGCACACCCAAAUCCGCAAAUCAAAAUGCCCUUCUAUUCUUCCGUCGUUGUAGACUAACUGAGCAAGUGUUGUUUUACCCAAGCCCCCCAUUCCACAUAUAGCAUAAACAGAGAAAUCAUCUGAACUGGUGAGCAGCAUGUUGACCAGAUCUUCUUUCUCCUUGCCCCUUCCAUAAAUUCCUGAUUCAUCCACCCAUGACCAAGUCUGACGCCAAUCAAAACUAUCUGCUUCUAUCUCCAAAGCCCCUUCAAUUAAAUGGAAAUCGUGUCUCCCCUUGGCAAUGCGAUCUAGUGUUUCUGUAACAUUCUUCAAUUUACGAGCCAUCCUUUGUCGAAAAACAAGAGGAUUAUGAUUGAUAGAAAAGAAGGAUCUUAGCCAAUUUUUGAGAUCUCUUCGCUGCUGAUGCCACUGAGCUUCAAAAGCAAACUCAUCCAGUACAUCAUCAACAACAUAAGCUGCAUCCUUGAGGUCGCUGAGCCACACCUUGAUAUGCUUACUCUUCCACUGCUUCUCCUCUGCAUCUUGCAGCACAGCUUGAAUGGUUAUGAACGUGCGCUUGAGAUUUUCAAGCUCGGUCGUUAGGCCCCUAGCAAGUCCAAGCUCUUGAAGAACUAGGGAAUUCAAGUUCCCCAUUAUUGUACUCGCGAGAGCAGAAAGAAUUGCAUCACCCAUGGCUUGUUUUGGAAUGGAAAAGAAGAAGUAGAAAAGGUGCAAGGAAAACUAAAAGCAGGGGAGGUGAGCAAGAAAUGGCAAGUAAAAAUUGAGAAGACAGCAGUAUGAGAUGAAAAAUGGAAAAGGCAAACAGCAGUCUCUGAUUAUAUUGAUUAGGCUCCACACGGUGCAGGCUUGACUUGGCUAUGCCUAUAAUAGUAUAAUAAAGCAAUUGAAGUUUCAGAGAAGGAACAUAGCUGUGAUUUCAAGCAACAUUUGUCAAUUAUCGCAUGCCUUUUCCUGUUUUAAACAGAAACGUGAUUAACGCUUUUGGCUGUGAAUUCUCAAGGGUAUUUUUCUUUUCAAUAUAUUCUCCAUUAGUUAGAACACAGUGCAAAAAGUUUUUCAUAAAUGUGUUUUAAUCCUCGGUUAGAGUUAAUUUAUUCUUAAUGACAGUAGAAUGACAUCAUAAUCACAACUAAUCUCAAAAACUUAUUUAAUCAACUUAAUAUUAAAUAAUAAAAUAAAAUAAAAAAUCGAGGUAAUCAAGCAACCCGCGACCUGGACAAAUUCCAACAGGAACACAAGAUUGGUUAUGUAAAAAAGAAGUGCAGAAGGACCAAAUAAUUGCUCACUCCGUGGAAUAAACAAAUAUUAGUCUAUCUUGGACAUGAAUAGAGAAAGGUUAUUAUAUUUUCAAAUAUUUGUGAUUUGAGAGUUGGGGUUCAAUUUUAUCAAAAUAUUAAAACCGCUGUCUUUUAACUACACUGAUUAGGCUCCACACGGUGCAGACUUGACGAACAUUGAAUGUCUGUAUUAAAGCAUUGAAGUUUCUGAGCAGCGACACGGCUGUGAUUCGAAGACAACAUCUGUCAACUUGAAUUUCCUUGUUGGUUACUAAACGUCUUCUUCCCGCGCUUGCCAACCCGCGUGGCUCUACACACUUAAAUUUUAAAGAAUUACAUUAGGCUCCACACGGUGCUGACUUAACUAGCCAUGCCUGUAUUAAAGCAAUUGAAGGUUCUGAGAACCAACACAGCUGUGAUUAGAAGACAACAUUCCACCUUGAUUUUUCUUUUCAAUUGAAGUUUUUGCUUGCUCAAAUAAUUUAUCUAUGCAAAAGUCAAAAUGUAUUUUUAUAACGAAAUAAUUACUUUCUCAAAUAAUUCUGAUUACAAAACUUUAAAUACCAUUGAAAAUGAUUUUUCAAUAAGAAAAAUGCAUACAUGCCUAGUUGCUCAUAUGCUAAUGUACUUAUCCACUACUGUGCUAAUUUGUGAAAUAUUUUUGUCUACUGCGUAUAGAAAAAAACUCUCAAAUUUCUCUUUGUUCUCUGUUGUACCAUCAAAAGAAAAAUCCAAAGUGAUAAUGCAACAUCCAAAAGUAUAAAAUAUGGUAUAAAAACCAAAUAAAAAAAUAAUAAUUAGGGAUUAAAUUAAAAAAUAAAAUAAAAUAAGAAAAAAAUUUAAAAAUAGCAAUAAAAAGAAUAAAAACUAUUAUUUAAUGAAGAAAUUAAAUGAAAUAAAAUAUUGAGAGUUAAAAAUAAAAAACAAUAAAUCAAGAAAAUAAUAAGAAAAAAGAAAUUAAAAGAAUAAUGAUAAAAUUUAAAUUAAAAAAUUUUAAAAAAUAAAAUGAUAAAGGAAAAAAUAAAUCAAGAAAAGAGUAAAUUAUAUUAAAAAAAAACAUUAAACAAAACAAGAAUUAAAUUAGAUACCAAAACUAAAUAAAAUAACUGACUGGGCUCUACACAGUGCAGACUUUGACUAUCUAUGCCAAUUGAAGUUUCAGAGAAGUAACAUGGCUAUGAUUCGAAGACAACAUUUAUGAACUUGAAUUAGCUUGUCGGUUAGUGAAUGUCUGUGUCCCGCACUGGCCAAUCCGCGUGGGUCUCACACGCCAGGCAUGAAAGACAAGAAUGCCUCAAUCAGAUGCAUGAACAUAAAAGAUGGAAGAAAAGAAAAGAUGGUGGAGUCCUUUAGGUGGGUCUCCACGAAGAAAUUAUGCAACCAAGAGGCAAUGUACCCUUCACUUUCAUAUCCAAAGAUCGCAAAAUAUCUGAUCAAAACUGUGAUCCAAUUUUGCCCGUGUGAGAUGGAGGAACUUCCCGGAGGAGGGAGGGUUUUUAGGCGAGUUAAGCAUCUCCAAUAGAGAUGUUAUUUUAAAAAGAUAAAUUGAUAAAAUAAUAUUUUAAAUAGUAUAAAUAUAACUUUUUUUACGAUGUAUAUUUUAAUAGAAAAAAGUUAUUUGAAAAACCAAUUCUAUUAUAAUAGAAUAAAUAAGUGUUUUAUAUUUUUUUAAUAAUUUUGAUGUUAUUUUUUUUCUACAUGGCUAGAUUUAAUUGAUUUUUUUUUUUUUGCCCCACUUGGUUAAUUUUGGCUUUUUUAAAAGAUAUAUAGGAAUAAUAUUUAUGGAAAAGAAAAGGUAUUUUAGCAUUUUAUUUAGCUUUUUCUUUGAAGUAUAAAAACAAAUAAAAAAAAACCAAAAUAUUAUUUUUUUAUUUUUAAAUAUUUAUUUAGCCUCUCCAUUGGAAAUGCUCUUAAGGUUUGGUUUCAUUGCUAUGGAGGAACUUCCCGGAUUCCGGCUACAAGCCUAUCUACCUAUCUUUAACUUGUCCUUGUGGGUGUGAGUUGUGACUUCUGCUUCCAACAUAUGGAUUGUGCUUUAUAUAAUUUUAUAAAGAUCCAAAAUUGCAUGAAAAAAAAUAAAAAAAAUAUAAAACUUUAAAGAGAGAAAUAAUUAAGCGUUGAAGAGACACCAUAAUUCUAUUAUAGGGAAACUCUCAUGUUACUCUCCAACUUGUAUAUCCAUUCUCAAUUACAUUUAAAACCUACGAAUUUUUUCAAUUAGGUUCCAAACAUUUCAAAAUAUUCUCAAUUAGUGUUUUUUUUUUUUUUUUGUCAACGUUGUCGGUAUUUUUGUCAAAUAUUCUUAAAACCGAUGUCUGUUUUAGAGCAUAAAUAUACAUAUUGGAUAUAAAAAAUAUGAAUACUCGUAAAAAACAGUUCCUCUAUUUUUAAAAGAUAAAUUAAUUAAAUUUUUUUUAAAAAUAAAUUACCUAGUUCAUUGACCAGGUUACUUUUUUUAUAAUAUUUAUUUAUUCAUUUCCUUUCUUCUAUUUUCUUUUUAAAAAAAACGUAAAUGAACAGAAAGGACUAAAUAUAUAUAUUUUUUUUUAAAUAACUAAUUACUUCAUUUCUCAAAACUAAAAGGACUUAGUUUUAUAAUUUAGACCACAAGGGUGCAUUGGAAACCUUGGACUCCAAGGGUGAGUCAUCUCCACGUACUAUUGAGGAUUAGGAUGAAUAUUGAAAGUGACCUUACCUGCAACACGUGGUCGUAUGGUCUUUCAAUUUCAGGUGACACAUGGGUCCCACAAACCAUCAUCAUUUUAUUUCAUUUUCCCCUGCCUUGUGGAGAGAAAAAGAAAACCAACCAAGUCUUCUUCCUCCCUCUCUCCAGGACAGGAAGCGGGACCCAAUCUCAAAUACCCAACCCAAUCCUAGCCGUUGAUUGUUUUUUUCCUGGAUUCCUACUCUCUCUAUCUAGCUAUCUACCUGAUCCAGCUGGAUUUAGCUGUUACAAACUGUAACAAUCAUAUUUCACCCGCUUGAGUUGAGCUUGAGCUAUCUACCUAGCUAAGCCGUCGAGCAGUAAUAUUCAAGCCGACUUGAAAUAUUAGCUGCCAUUACGAUUUCCGUCACCAGUCUAACAUCUAAUUAAUAACUUUAAUAAUCAUUCAUUUCAUAUAUUAAUAACAAUAACAAUAAUAAUAUUGUACUCAAAACUUAUAAAUAAAAUAAAAAUUUUGAAUUUUUAAAUCUUAUAUAAGAUAAUAAUUCUUAUUAAAUAAUUUCUUACCAUCAUAAUCAUUAUAUUAGCCACAAUAAAAAUUAUCGGAUCUAGACAGUUAGGCAUAACCUCGAGCCCAGCUCGAUUAUAAAAAAAUAUUUCAGCUUUCAUCGCCCACAAACCUCCCUCCCUCCCUCAUUUUUUAUGGUUUAAUUCUAUAAUACACUUCAAGCUAUUAGGACAAUAUUGAAUUUAUAUUUAAACUAUUUUAAUUAUAAUUAUUCCGAGUCAUGAGAUCAUAGGUUGCUACAACGCAAUUUUUCUAUGGACAAAAUUUAUUUUAUAGUGCCGGCGGGGUAUCUUUUGAAGUGUUCAUGUAUAAAUUUGAAGCAAAGUAAUGAAGAGACGUGAGACAAUGCAGUAGUGAAACAGAGUUAUUUAUUCAUACCUCUUUCUUAUGAAGAGACGUACAUGUGUAUAUAUAGAGUGGGAAAAACUUGCAGCAAGGAAAGACAAUCUUGCAUAUAUUUUCUCCCAUGAUUAUUGCUAAGAUUAUAUGUUAAUAGUAAAUACACAAUCAUAUCUAAACUAGAUAACAAGUACUUGAUGAGUUGUUGCCAAUGGUUAGGUUUAAGAGAAAAACAUGGCAGCUCCUCCUUUAUGGGUAUGCUAUAUAUAUACUUCAUCUAACCAACAAAAGAGAAGUAAUAUAUUUUUCUUUGCAGAUAUCUAGAGACAAAGUUCUUCUCUGCAGUGAAGCCAAUGUAGGGGAGACCUGUAACCCUGAUUUUUUUUUUUUAAUUAAUAUGGUUAUUCGGGUUAGCUUACGCCUACUUCGAUUAAUUCUAUUGCAUGAACCUUGAAAUUAAUAACUAUAUAAGUCUUCAAUAAUCUUGAAAAUAUUUAAAUUCAUGAUCAUUAAAGAAUAAACUCAAAAUUUAACUUGUUGAGUUACCCCUCAAGAUUUCUAAUACCCUGACUCUUGUUUACACACAAUGCCGGCGGUGAUAGUUAGGGGUGAUCAUUUUCGAUUUGGUUCGGUUUGAUUUUUAUUAAAAAAAAAUAAUCAAACCAAUUUUUUUUUUUUAAACCAAAACUAGUUCAAACCAACCGGUUUUGGUUCGGUUUUUUAGGACAAAAAGCCGGUUUGGCUCGGUUUUCUUGGUUUUGACUCAGUUUUUUCUGGUUUUGGCUCUGGUUUUUUGAUUUGGCUCGAUUUUUUCUGGUUUGGGUCCGGUUUGGUUUGGUUUUUUGGUUUUAGACUUAUAAAACCAAAACCAAACCAACUGAUUUUUUUAAAAUUUUAAUUAAUUUUUUUCACGAUUUAAUUUUUUCAAUUAUUUUUUUCAGUUUUCUUAAUUUUUCGAUAUUUUUACUCACUCUAUCACUCUAUCGUAUGUUUUGUUUUUUACAGUAAAGAAGGCUGGUGUUCUUACUAUUAGUUUUUUUAUAUAUAUAUAAAUUAAAGAUCAUUAAUGGAAUCUGCUAUGGAAAGAAUAUUCAAAUAUUAGAGAAGUGCACAGGGACAAAAUAAUUGCUCACUCCCUGGAAUAAUCAAAUAUUAGUCUAUCUCGAACAUGAAUAGAGAAAGGAAGAAAAGAACACGUCAUGACUUUGAACAGAGAAAGUAAUAAUUGCCCAUUCGCCUUGAAAUUCUAGCUGUACAGCAUUUGGAAUUUCACGAGGCAAAAGAUUCUUAACAAUGAGUUAAAUCUCCCUUUUGAGGUGGUGACCUGACCUGUCGGAAUUGCUUUAUAGACAAGAAUGGAUUCAUGAGUCAUAUUCUACAAGAAACAAGCAAGUCAUUUGACUCACAUAAGAAAGAUGGAAAUAUAUUUCCCCUUUAAUAAAGAGCUAAAAGGGUACGCUAGAAAUUUAAAAUUUUUUAAAAGUACAGUCCAAACAUUGUAUAAUUACCCUCACAAACUUUCAAUAAUAGAUACCAUUUGUUACGCAUAAUUAUGGUAUUUCAAAUUACGCGUGCUUGCUGUGAUUUUCUUCCAUGCACAUAUCUCAAGUAAAUGAAAGCAGGCUUCUGGAACAUGAAGAACUGAGAGGUGCCCGUGCCCUUGCCUUUCAUACAGCGAAGCACCAAUCCAGGUCCGUUCAUGGCUUUUCAGCAAACAAGGAAACCAUUGGCGAUGCUUUUACAGAGUGCUCAAUCACUUUUCUAUUUUUUACAUUAGAAUUUAGAUGGAUACAGAGUGCUCAACCAUCGGGUUAUAAAUUUCAUUUUACUAACAAAACAAUGUUCCCGGGCAACACAUCUCCCCUCGAGUUAUAAAUUUCAUUUUACUUUUUUUUUCGUUACUGACAACGUAUAAAUUUCAAUUACUUAAUUUUUUACUGAAAUUUCAUUAUAACUUAAUAACAAAAUGUAGAUCAUAUAUACUAAGAUUCGCUCCAAUAGAAGCAAUGACCAUGAUGCAGUGACACAUGGAAAAGUUAUACAGUAAUGUAGGUCAUUCUCAGGCUUUUUUUUUAUUUUAUUUUUUUUGUAGUUUUUCUAAUAUACCCAUGACAGGGUAGACUUGUCCUAUAUAGACGAAUCAACUGUUAAAUGUUCCACAAAGAGUAUGGCAGGCCAAAAACACUCACUAUGUUUUGUUAUGUAGGCAUGCAGCUGCUCUUUCCAGGGCUUUCUCUUUGUUGUUUUUAACAAAAAAAGCAGAGAUAUUUACUCAAACCUUCUCAGGCAUUCAUAUCAAACGAACCCUAGCUACGUGUGAAGAAGAUUGAAAGAGAAUGAUCAGUAAGGAUACAUAGAGGAUUUAAAAGCUGUGAAAGCUUGCUCAUGUAGUCGCUGGAUGAAUUAAUCGAGGAGUUUACAAAUAGGCUGGAAUUGCAUCGACACUGAAAUUAACACCUUCAAUUCAAAAAUGAUUUUGACAUUUUGCAGAUAUGGUUCCUUAUCUACAGCUUAGUGAUAUUUAGAGAGAGUUUUCGGCAAAUGCAGCCCACAUUACUAUUCAAUCUCAUGAUGAUGCGUGGCAUCAGAUCGAAUUGUUGAGUUUUCGCGUUGAUAAUCUUCAAAUUUUCUGCAUUUGGACCUAACUGUGAGAUGAAUGGUUUUAUUCGUCAUGACUGUGCAAAAACUUAUUUAAAUCAUCGUUAUUUUCAAAUUAAAGAAAAAUAUUUAUGAUCACAUUUAGUUAAAAGUUACUCUUUAGAAUCAAAUUGAACUAGAUUUUUUAAUUCAUGUCAUCUCAACUAACUUUUAUCAAACGCUUAUAAGAUCAUAGAUCCUUAUGAAUAUAGUAUUUUUUGUAGUUGAAUAAUGGGUUUAAUCAAAUCUCCAUGCUAUUGAUUCAUUUUUCAUGACACAAAAAGGUGAUAGCUUGAUGUAAAAUUCUAACACUUGCAAAAUAGUUUUUUUUUAAUGGAUUUGAAUACCUUCAAAUGCUUAAUUAAGCAAGAGGAAAAUAUAUAAAUAUGCAAAAGAAUAUUAAAUUCUAAUAACAAAAUUAUUUUUUUGUUUUGAUAUGAAAAUAUGUAUUUUAUAAGAAAAUGAUGAGUGUAUGUUGAGAUUGAAAAUUAUAACCCUUAUAUGGAUAGUUUAAGGAGUAUCUAUACCCAAAAACAUUAUCAUUUUCCUUAAGUGAAGGGGUUUGAAUUAUUUCACCAUGAUAGCAUUAAAGAAGAACAAAAAUCUUUCAUAUAUAUAUAUAUAUUAUUAUAUAUUAAAGAGAAAUAUUUCUAACAUAAAUAUUUAAUAAAAUUUAAUACGUAAUAAAAACUCUUGUACACCGAAAAUAUAGAUUGAACAUGAUUCAACUAAAGAACUUGAAUAAAAUAAAAAUAUCAAGAAAUUUGAUACGGGUAGAAGCCACAAGACAAUGCUCAAAGGUAUUAAGCCUAGCAUGGGCCUAAAACCUUUUUUAAAAUGUUCUUCCUGAGUUGUCGUUAAAACAUGCUUGGAUUAACAUGUAAAAUGAUAAGAGAAUAAUAGAAUUUGCUGGAAUGAAAUUAUUAUUGAUUGCAUUGCAUAUUUAUAUAAGAGUAUCUACAUUUAUCUCUUCUACUAUGAAUCCAACACUUGGAAUUCAUUGUCCUAUAAAGAAUUAUUAUUACAGUAGGAAAUCAUGUAUAAAUUAUUCAUUCCUAAUAUAUCUCUAUCAGGAUUCCUAAUACUCCCCUUCAAGUCGAAGAGUGGAUGUCCUACACUCCCAACUUGUGAAUCAUGAAUGAAGACAUCUUUUACUAAGGGUUUGGUGAAGAUGUCUGCCAAUUGAUGGUCAAAAUGAACAUGUCUUGUUAUCAUAGAAUCAUCUUGAAUUUUUUCCUUGAUAGUGACAGUCCAUCUUAAAAUGUCAGGUGCACUCAUGAAACACUAGGUUGGCUACAAUGUGUAAUGCAACCUUGUUAUCAAUGUAGUAAAGCAAGUUCAUGAUGUAAAAGGCCUAAAUCCCUCAACAGACAUCGGAGCCAUGUCAACUCACAACAUGCUCCUGUCAUUGCACGAUACUUUGCCUCUGCAGAGGAGAGUAAGACUGUUUUUUGUCAUUUUGAUCUCCAGGAUAUCAAUAAGGGUCCAAGAAACACACAAUAACCCGUGGUAGACCUCUGAGUUAGUGGGCAACCUGCCCAAUCCGAGUCUGAAUAAGCUCUUAAUUUGUAAUCAGUGUGUGAAGGAAAGAAUAACCCUUGACCAGGAGCUCCUUUCAGAUAUCGGACAACCCGGAAAGCAGCUUCCAUAUGAAGCUUCCGGGGUUGGUGCAUGAAUUUGAGGAACUGCAAGUUCCUCAAUGGUGGAAGUUGUUCACGGUGGUCAACACAUUUCAUUGUAUAUAAUAAUAAUAAUAAUAAUAAAAUAAUAAUAAUGUACUCAAAAAUUUAGAAGUUAUAAAAUAAAGAUUUUUUUAUAUCUUAUAAGAUAAUAAUUCUUAUCAAACAAUUUCUUACCGUCAUAAUCAUUAUAUCAGCCACAAUAAAAACUAUCGGAGCCAGGUUGGCAUAACCUAGAGCAUUCUUGCGUAUUUUCUAAAAGAGAAAGAAAACAUUUUUUCAUGAUUUUUACUUUUUUAUUCUUAAAUAAACAAACAUUCAAAAUUAACUUAAACAUUAGGAUGCAACAACAACUCCAAUUCCAAAACAAAAAAUAACAAAAUAAUAUGAAAGCAAGUAACACUCAUAUUUAUACAUUCUAAAAAGAUAUACCCAUCGCUCUUGCGUGAGCUGCUCCAAGUGAUCUAGUCACCAUCAACCUCCAACAUCUCACUCAAGCAUUAGAAAACAUCUAGGCAUAAAACAAGCCCCAUGACUCACAUAAAAAAAAUAUUUCAGCUUCCAUUGCCCAGAAACCUCCCUCCCUCCCUCAGUUUUUAUGGUUUAAUUCUAUAAUAAACUUCAAGCUAUUAGGAUAAUAUUGAAUUUAUAUUUAAACUAUUUUAAUUAUAAUUAUUCCGAGUCAUCAGAUCAUAUGUUGCUACAACGUAAUUUUUCUAUAGACAAAAUUUAUUUUAUAAUGCCGGUGGGGUAUCUUUUGGAGUGUUCAUGUAGAAAUUUAAGCAGAGUAAUGAAGAGACAUGAGGCAGUGCAAUAGUGAAACAAAGUUAUUCAUUCAUACCUCUUUCUUAUGUUGUACAUGUAGAGUGGGAAAAACUUGCAGCAAGGAAAGACAAUCUUGCGUAUAUUUUCUCCCAUGAUUAUUGCUAAGAUUAUAUGUUAAUAAUAAAUACACAAUCAUAUCUAAACUAGAUAACAAGUAAGUUAUACUUGAUGAGUUGUUGCCAAUGGUUAGGUUUCAGAGAAAGACAUGGCAGCUCCUCCUUUACGGGUAUGCUAUAUAUAUACUUCAUCCAACCAACAAAAGAGAAGUAAUAUAUUUUUCUCUGCAGACAUCUACAGACAAAGUUCUUCUCUGCAGUCAAGCCAAUGUAUGGGAGACCUGUGACCCCUGACUUUUUUUUUUAAUUAAUAUGGUUCGAUUAAUUCUAUCCCAUAAACCUUGAAAUUAAUAACUAUAUAAGCUUUCAAUAAUCUUGAAAAGAUUUAAAUUCAUGAUCAUUAAAGAAUAAACUCAAAAUUUAACUUGUUGAGUUACCCCUCAAGAUUUCUAAUACCCUGACUCUUGUUUACACACAAUGCCGGCGGUGCUAGUUAGGGGUGAUCAUUUUCGAUUUGGUUCGGUUUGAUUUUUAUUAAAAAAAAAGUAACAAAACCAAUUUUUUUUUUAAAAAAACCAAAACUAGUUCAAACCGACCGGUUUUGGUUCGGUUUUUUAGGACAAAAAGCCGGUUUGGCUCGGUUUUCUUGGUUUUGGCUAGGUUUUUUCCGGUUUUGGCUCUGGUUUUUUGAUUUGGCUCGGUUUUUUUGGUUUGGGUCCGGUCCGGUUUGGUUUUUUGGUUUUAGACUUAUAAAACCGAAACCAAACCAACCGAUUUUUUUAAAAUUUUAAUAAGUUUUUUUCACGAUUCAAUUUUUUCAAUUAUUUUUUUUCUAGUUUUUUUAAUUUUUCGAUAUUUUUACUCACUCUAUCGUAUGUUUUGUUUUUUACAGUAAAGAAGACUGGUGUUCUUACUAUUAGUAUUAUAUAUAUUAUAUAUAUAUAUAUAUAUAAAUUAAAGAUCAUUAGUGGAAUCUGCUAUGGAAAGAAUAUUCCGUUAGCAAUUCUAAUUUUUUAGAUUUUUUUAAUUUCGACAACAAUUUUUAAUGCUAGCAAAAUAUUUCAUUGAUAUUUUUAUUGGUAUUAGAAAUCAUUAACGAGAUAAAAAAGUUUAAUGAGCAACUUUUUAAAGAUAAUAUUUCAUUAGUAAUUUCAUUGAUGUUUUCAUUGGUGUUAGAAAUCAUCAAUAAUUUCUAAUAAUAACAAAAUUCUCUCUAAAUACUGAUAUAAUAUUCUUUUAACAUUCCUUAAUUUUGUGCUAGUGUUUAACGUAAAUAACUUCCUUUUGUUUUUCAAUUAAACAAAUUAUCAUACUUUAAAUUGCAUACUGAUAUAUUUUUUUUCUUACUUUAAAAAUUAACUUAAAAACUUACAUGUAGUAUAACAAGAGUUAUUGCACCAAUGAGAACUAAAUACCAUUAUCUUGUAAAAAAAAAAAAAGUAGGUUGCAGUCGAGAAAUAAUUUAUUUCCAUUUUAAUUUUGUAUUUUUGACAAUGUUUUAGGUUUUUUUGGGCUAAUAAAUUAUUAUUUUUUUAAGUUUUAAGGAUGUUGAUUAAUUAUUUUUUUGAUGAAAAUAAUGAAAAUAAAUUUUUAGAUAAAAAGAACAUCCUCUCAAUUUUUAGUCACUUUUACUAGAAUUUAGAUGUGGAAGUUACACGUCAUUUGUUUCUUAAAAAAAUUAGAAAGAUGACAAAUUUGAAAAAAUAAUGAAAAAAGCCUUGAGAUGCAGUGGCAUAGGCUAGCAGACCCGCAUGCUUAGACUUAUUUUUAAAGGUUCCAUCUUGCUAAGCCACAGGACGUGUACCUUGCUUUUAUUAAAAAAAAAUUCCAAUAAUUUUGGUUGUGAUUUCUUAAAUUUUAAUUAAUCAAAUAUUUAUUAGUUAUAUUAUUUAUUAGAUUCUUAAAGUGAUUAAUUAUAUAUUUAGAUAUUAUUUUAGUUAAAGUGAUCAUUUUUUACCAUGUUUUAGAAUAAAAUUAUUUCUGAACGUGCGGUUGAGAUUUUCAAGCUCGGUCUCUAGGCCCCUAGCAAGUCCAAGCUCUUGAAGAAUUGGGGAAUUCAAGUUCGCCAUGAUUGUACUCGCGAGGCAGAAGUAAUUGCAUCAGCCACAGCUUGUUUCGAAUGGAAAAUAUUGGAUGUUGACAAGAAGAAGUAGAAAAUGUGCAAGGAUAACCAAAAGCAGGGAUGAGGAGACAGAGCAGUGUGGCAUGAGAAAUGGCAAAGGUGAAAGUGUCUGGUGAUGGUCUUUACUCUUGCUAUUGAUCAAUUCUUCAUUACAUUAAACACAUUAUACGUUUGCAAAAAACCCACCAAAGACCACACCUCCCAUCUAAACUGCCGUCCUUGACUAUUAUAUUGAUUAGGCUCCACACGGUCGAGACUUGACUAGCUGUGCUUCCACCAUUGGAGAUAAGGUUUACAGGAUCAUAAAGCCUUGCCGUUUUGGCACCUGAUGCCAACAUUAUUGGCCUACAGAAAGACAAGUGGACAUCAAAACUACUAAAGGCCAAUCACCGCCAUGCGAGUAAAGAUAUGUUUCGGUUUGAAUUUUUUUUUUUUUUUAGAUCAAGGGAAUAUAAUGAGUCAUGUAUACAAAUAAAAUUACCGAGAUAACUGAUUUCGUUUGUAAAUCCAUCAAUAAAUUCAUUAAUAAACUGUUAACUUUUUCCUAAUACUAUUUAUCAUGUCAAUUACAAAUGAAAUUAUUGACGAAAUAUUCUAUUAAUAUUUCUUAAAAAACUUUGCAACUGUUUACUUUUUAAUUGCACUAUUAAUUAUUAUUCUUUAUAGAUAAAAUCACUGACGGAUUGAAAAUUCAUCAGUGUUAUUUGGUGGGUUUCUGAAAUUUUUUGAUUAAAUUAAAUAUUACAGACGGAAUCACCGAUAGAUUGAAAAGUCGUAGGUGAUAUUUGGCUAUUUCUAAAAAUUUUAUAUUAAAUUGAAAAUUUAAAUUAACUAUUACAGAAGGAAUAAUUGACAGAAUGAUUAAAAAUAUUAAUAUUUAAUUAUUCAUCGGUAAAACGCCCAAUAAAAAGACUAGAAUCCCUUAUUUCACAAUAGACGUGCCUCUUUUUUCUUCUUCUUUUUUUUUUUUUUUUUUUUUUAAAUCAACAUCUCUUUCUUUCUCUUCUCUCCUCAACUCCUUAUUUAUUUAUUUAAACAAUGCUAACUGGGUUGAGUCCACUGUUCCGGUUGGACCGGGUCCGAUUAAAAGCUAAAAAUGCAUUGAACUGGGUCCAAUCCAGUAAAAUAAAAAUAUUAUUUUUUAUUUUUAAUUGUGUUUUAUUUUAAAAAAUAGUGUUUAACGUUAUUCAAUGACACUACAUAAAUUAUACGGGGAUUGCUUAAUGACGUAGUAUUUACAUAACUUGAUCGUAAUCCCCAUUUUAUUCCUGAUGUUGUUGCGCGCUUAAGAAACUAAGAAAACUGUAGUCCUUGUCGGAUGUAUUUCAUACGCGAUGAAAUUGUAGAUAGUUUAAUGAAACAAUAAAAAAUAUUUUAUAUAAAGUAUUUUUUUAUUUUAUGAUGUAAUAGCAGUAGUUAAAUCUGUAAUAUUUAAAUUAAAAACCAUCAAUAUUAAUAUAUAUUUUUUGAAAUUAUUUUAUAACCUCAAUUUGAAAAGUAUUCUUAACCAAAUACAUUAAACUAUUUUUUAGUUCAACUUUAAUUUUAACCAAACAUAUAUAAAUAUCAAACCAAUCUCAACUAAAAAUACUUUUUAUAAAAUAAUUUUUUUCAAAUCACAACCAUAAAAGCUAUCACAAUACCAAACACACUCCGGGUGCGUUUAUUUUCUAGAAAGUGGUUUUCCAGAAACCACUUUUCAAACUUUAUUGUAUUUGUUUGCCAUUAUGAAAGUUGGUCAACGAAAAACACUUUCCAGUCAAAGAAAAAUUUGGCUUGGUUUCUAGGAAAGUGUUUUCCUUUUAUUUUGGGCGGAAAACACUUUCCAGAAGUUGUGAAAAAUUUAGAAAUGUCAUAUUAUUUACUAAUUAUAUUAAAUUUGGUUCUCAAACUUUUGAUUGUUACAUAUAUUUUGUUUUGAAUAUUUGUUUUUCAAUUUCAUCCCUUAGAAUUGAAUUUUUAUAUAAACUUUGGUUCUUAUUUUUAUUUUGCUUUUCCCUUAUCAUUUUUUAAUUGGAAUUUUUUAUCUAUCAAAUCUGGUCCUCAUUUUUUAUUGUUAUUUUUUUAUUUGAAAUAAUUUAUGAAAUGUUAAUUAUUAUUAUUUUAAUUCUUCAUCUUUUAAUUUUUUUAUUUUUUAGAUUUGAUCUCUAUUAUUUUGAUUAUUAUUUAUUUUAUUUGAGAUAAUUUAUGAAAUUAUAUAUUUUUUUCAAUUUAUUCUCAUUCAACUUUUUAAUUUGUAAGAUUUGUUGUUCAUUAUUUUAAUAAACUUGAAAAAAUAAAAUAUUAAUAAGUUAUUUUCCAGCUUAUUUUCCACGACAUAACCAAAUACUAGAAUGUAUUUUCUAACUUAUUUUUCAUUACAUUACCAAACAUUAAAAAAUAAUUUAUUUUUUAGAAUUUAAUUCCUAAAAAAAAUUACUUUUCAAUAAAUAAACAGGGAUUUAACUAACACCUCCCGAGUCCUAACGGAUAUUAUGGACCCGCAGGGUACAUAUUGCCCCUCAUGAUCUUGCUUUCUUCUUCUAGGGCCCGCAUGUUGAUAUUGACCAUCUUGGGCACUUCCGUUCUCCAUUGCCAGAGACGUUCGAGGCAGUGAAGCUCCCCAUCCCGCAUUAACGGUGGUUCGCAUUGCGUUUUGAAAAUAUUUUAAAAAGAAAUUGAUUUUCUUUUAGAUCAAGGGAAUAUAAUGGGUCAUGUAUACAAACAAAAUUACCGACAUAACUGAUUCGUUUGUAAAAUCCAUCAAUACAUUUAUUAGUAAACUGUUAACUUUUUUCUAACAUUGUUUAUCCUGUUAAUUAUAAAGGAAAUUAUUGACGGAAUAUUUUAUCGGUAUUUUUUAAAGAACUUUGCAACUGUUUACUUUUCAAUUGUACUAUUAAUUAUUAUUUUUUAUAGAUGAAAUCAUUGACGGAUUGAAAAUCCAUCAGUGUUAUUUGACGAGUUUCUGAAAUUUUUUGAUUAAAUUAAAUAUUACAGUCACAGAUGGAAUCACCGACAGAUUGAAAAGUCAUAGGUGAUAUUUGACGGUUUCUGAAAAUUUUGUAUUAAAUUAAAAAUUUAAAUUAACUAUUACAGACGGAAUAAUUAACUGAAUAAUUAAAAAUAUUAAUAUUUAAUUAUUCAUCCGUAAAAUGCCUAAUAAAAAAACUAGAAUUCAUUAUUUCACAAUAGACUUGCCCUUUUUUUCUUCUUCUUUUUUUUUUAAAAAAAAACCAUCAACAUCUCUUUUUUUCUCUUCUCUCCUCAACUCCUUAUUUAUUUAUUUAUUUAAACGCAGCUUUUGAUUUUUGCUUUAAUGCUACAUUUGUUUAUGAGAUUAGUCUGCGUUUGAAGCAAAACGCAGGAGCAACAUGUUUGGUAAUGAAAAAACAUCAUUUACUGUUCAUGGACCCCAUUGUUAUUGGCCUUUGCAACGGAGGAUGAGACAAAGUAGCUCUUCGCUGCUUCUGUAGAGAGUGAACAGUGGAGGGUGACUCCACUAUUCCGGCUGGACUGGGUCCGGUUUAAAGUAUGCAUUAAACCAAGUUCGAUCCAGCAAAAUAAAAAAAUUAUUUUUUAUUUUUUAUUGUGUUUUAUUCAAUGUUUAAUAUUAUUCAAUGACAUUACAUAAACUAUAUGGGGAUUGCUUAAUGACGUAGUAUUUGUAGAAUUUAAUUUUAAUCCCACUUAAACUUAUUCUACUGUACACAUAACCCGAUGCUGCGGAUUAUGUUUUUUAUAAAAAAUAUUAAAAAUUUUAGCUGCAAAGCUAUACUAAAAAAUAUUGAGUUUGGCUCCAACACCUAAUCUAAGAGUAAUAUUUAUAAUGUUAAUAAUAAAAUUAAACUUGCAUGACUUAAGUUUAAGUGAGUCUGGCUAAAAGACCAGACCCAAGAAUAUUGGAUGUGAGUCUGGCUAUAAGAUCGUGUUAUAAAAAUAUGAUAAUUAAAUAGAUUAAUUAAAAAAAUAAAAAAAAAUCAACAGAAAGGAAAAAACUAAUAAAGAAAAAGAAAAAAAUUGAAUUAAUUAGGUUAACCCUUUAAACUAGGUUAUCCCGUAAAACCUGAGAUUCACGUCAUGAAAGUUUGAUAAUUAAAUAGAAAAAAAAAAGACUGGUUUACCCAGAAUUAACUGGGUUAACCCAUCAAACCAAGUUAACCCGUCAAGCCUAGGAUACGUGUUAUGAAAGUAUGAAAGUCUGAUAAUUAAAUAAAAAAAAAAUUGACUUUAACAAACUAAACUAAAUGAAAAAAAUAACUCAUCAAAUCAAGUUAACCUAUCAAACCCGAGAUCCGUAUUAUGAAAAUCUGGUAACUAAAUAAAAAAUUAACAUUAACAAACUAAAUCAAACAAAAAUUCAUUAAAAAAAUUAAAAAGAAAAAAAUAGUUAUUAAUAUAAUGUAAUAUAAUAAUAAUAAUAAUAAUAUAUAAUAAUAAGUAAGUAUAUUAGUAAAAGGCAUGACAUGCCCACACGAUGCCGCGGGCUUGUGGCAUGCUUGUACAUUAUCGUGGAUUUGUGAAAAAAAUCAUAUAAAAAAAUAUAGUUAUCAUCCACAAUAUUUUAAAGAAAAAAACUACAAAGCUAUAUUCUCAACCAGUUCAAUAUUAAAAAAACAAAAUCGACAAAAACAAUUAUAAAAAAACACACAAAAAUGAAAACAAGAAGAUGACAAUUUUGGAAGAAAAAAAAAAAAACAAUAAUAAAAAAAAAGGAAAAAAAAACAUGUGGGGAAAGUUAAAGCUAAAUUUUCAAUCAUCUCAAUAUUAAAAUCAUUUAAAAAACAUUGUAACGAUCUAAAGUGUUUUGUGUAAAAAUAUAUAACUAUAAUUGUUAACCAGCUCAAUAUUAAAAAAAUCAAUAAAGAUAAUUUUAAUAGAAAAUAAUUGGAUGUUGACAAGAAGAAGUAGAAAAUGUGGCAAGAAUAACCAAAAGCAGGGAUGAGGAGACAGCAGUGUUGGAUGAGAAAUGGCAAAGGUGAAAGUCUGGUGAUGGUCUUUACUGUUGCUAUUGAUCAAUUCUUCAUUACAUUAAAUGAAGGACGAAUUUUUUGCUUUUAGAAGGUGUGAUGUGUGCUUUAAACAAAAAACCCACCAUACCUCACAUAUUAAAGCGUGUUUAGUAGUAUGAUAAUAGUUACUUUUUAAAUAAUUUUUUAUGUUGAAAUGUAUAUCAAUGAUGUUUUUUUAUUUUUGUUAAAAAUCAUUUUUAAUAUCAGCAUAUUAAAACGAUCCAAAAAAUAUAAACUGUAUUAAAUUUUAAUAAAAAAAAUAAAAAAAACUUUUGAAUUUUUUAAAAACAUAGGUUGAACCGCGUUUCUAAACACUGCCUACGCUCGACUAUUAUAUUGAUUAGGCUCCACACGGUCGAGACUUGACUAGCUGUGCUUACAAUAAAGCAAUUCAAUUUUCAAAGAAGGAACAUGGCUGUGAUUUGAAGACAAGAUUUGUCUGCCGGUGUGAACCCAAACUUUUGUUCAAAAUGUGAGCCAAAAUCCAAUCUAAAUUAAUCUAGUAUAUCAAAAAGUUGUAUUUUUUUUUGUGGUUGUUAUAAUUCUCUCUCAUCAAUUAAAAAUUUUUAAUCUUUAAUAUUGAAUUUUUAGGUUUAAAAAAGGUAAAAAUAACAAGUAAUCAAUUCUUUUUCAUGUUAAUUAUGGUUUGUUUAUGAAAACAUUAAAAAAAAUAAGAUUUAUAAAGAUUUGAAGUUUAUGUUUUUAAAAUAAAUUCAUGAUUAUUAUAAAUUUGAGUUCAAGUGAUUAAUUUUAGAUGUGUUGUUAGAAAUAAGAAUUUGUGAAUUGAUUUGUUUAAUUAAUUUAUUAAGGGUUAAGAAAUUCGCUUCAACUUUGUUAGAAAAUUGGACAAAAUAAUUUUGAGGUUGAAGAUAAAGAAAUUGUAUUUUGGUCCUUGAUUUAUGAAAAUUACAGUGUAAUUCCUAAACAUUGAAAAAUUAUAAUUUGACCUCUAACUGUAUUUUGGGAUUCUGAGUGGUAUUAUUAUGAGGUUAAGGAUAAUGACUCUCAGUUUAAUAAUUGAUUUGGGAUCUUUUCAAUUUGGGCCUUUAAUUUUGAAAGUUUACAUUUUAGUCCCUGAUCUUUAAAGAAAUGAUAGUUCGGUCCUUGGUUCAUUUCUAGAUAGAAUUGAAAAUGGUUUGUUGGUAAAAUUUCAGUAUGGUUAUGUAUUUACAAUUUGCUCCUCCAAUUUUGGCAAAAUUUUGUUUUGGUUCGUGAUUUCUAAAAAAUAUCGUUUUAGUCCUUAAACUCAUAAGAAUAAACCUGUUUUAUUUUAUGCAUUGAAAUAUUUUAUUUGUUGUUUUGGGUUGUUUUUUAGUAUAUUCUAUAUAUUUUUUUAUAAGCUCCUAACAAUCAUCAAUAAAAUUGCCAUAGCUUGUUUUCGAAUGGAGAAUAAUUGGAUGCUGACAAGAAGUAGAAUAGGUGCAAGGAUAACCAAAAGCAGGGGUGUAAGCAAGAAAUGGCAUGUGUUGAGAAGACAGAGCAGUGUGAGAUGAGAAAUGGCAAAGGUAAAAGUGUUUGGUGAUGAGCUUUUCUUCUGCUAUCGAUCAAUUCUUCAUUACAUUAGUGAUUAAUAAUGUGGUGGUUCAAUUUUAUUAAGAUAUUAAAACUGCUGUCCCUGACUAUAUUGAAUAGGCUCCACACAGUUCAGACUACAUUUCAGACUUGACUAGCUAUGCUUACAAUAAAGCAAUUGAAGUUUCAAAGAAGGAACAUGGCUGUGAUUUGAAGACCGAAUUUGUCUACUUGAAUUGCCUUGUUUGUUAGCAAACGUCUUCUUCUCUAAGCUCAGUUUUUUUUUAUCAGUGUCCAGUGGCCUUCGGUGACCCCAUAACCAUGCAGCCAAGCUGCGCACUGGCCAGACCCUCGGAAGUCGGAAACACCAAUAUCUUCCAGCGCUAGUGAAUGCAAGUUGCCCAAGAUUGUAAAUGCAAGCGCAGAAACAAGUGCACCAGCCAUGUUCUCUUCUGAAGUGAAAAUGGGAACUGACACGGGUAAGAUAAAUGUUUUCCGACUAAGGUUAUUUUUCUUUUCUUUUAUGACAAGGAGAUAAGAUGAAGAAUGAUUCAAUGUCGCAAAAUCGACAAGAUCAAAAGGGUUCUAAAAUUAGAAGUGUAAGAUCAAAUGUAGGAAUUAGUUUACUUCGAAGGCACAACAGUCUUUGGAACAAAAAAAAAAAAAAAACUUGAUUACCCCAGAGACAGGACAACCAAGAACACACCAGUACGGCAUCCAUGGAGCUAUUUAACAUCUUUCUGUAUGCAGCAAGGUGGUCAUGGCCAUACCUGGUUUUGUUUCGAAGUUUUGAACCUCCAGAACCAUAUUUAUUUGAACAUUUAUGUUUACUCAAAUGGAAAAUCUAGACAGCAAACUUUAAUUUACAAUGCACUAGUGAACAGCCCUUCAUAAUCUGGAAAACAAUGUAAAUGCUAUUAUUAAUUGUUUCACCUUACUAACAAUUGACAGUUGCAAUUGAAAAUUUAACAGAAUGCUUAGGAACCUGAUGUUCUAUUUUUAGGGACUCCAAGAUCGAAGAACAGUGCACAGUGAACAUUUCUUUCCCGGAUUUAAUUCAAACCAAUGUGUUGCCAUCCAAUUAAUCUGGUAAUUAAAGAAGAAAGAAGGGUUCUUGAAUAACAAGAACAACAACAGAAGAAAAGAAACAGAGAGAAAGAGAAACUUUUAGUAACAUUCAACACUUAGUAUUUUUUUUUAAAAAACAAAAUUAACAUUCAACUCAAACCAUUAACGUUGGUUUUUUUUUUUUUUUUCCCUGAAUCACAGAAUAUCUUGUCCCAGCUUUCACGUACUAAACCAAGUCUUUACAGCCUGGAACCGAUCUUUACACAGUGUUAAGCCCCACAGCUCGCGGCCCUAUAAGAUUUGAUGCUAGAAAAAUUCAAACUGAAGAUCUGAAGAGAGUAAACCUCCAAGCCCACCAUUAAGUUCCACUAGACUAACCCCUCGAAGUUACCAUUUACAUUGUCUGCUUGCUAUUCAUACAUCAUUCAUGGUCAACUCAAUAUUUCACUAAUUUUCAUUUUAAAAAUAUUGGGAGAUAUGUCAAAUUCAUAUUGAUUAUAAUUUUAGAAAAAAAAAAAAAAAAAAAAGCAGUUAGAAUGAAUUGAUUGAAAAAGCAUCACUUAUUAGUUUCAUAGAUUGUAUUGCAGAAGAUAUUAAAUAAAAACAAAACACAAUACGCCUUCGACACCGAACUGCAAAUUACCUGGGAAUCUGAGCGAACGAAUCUGACGCCCUUGCCAGGAUAUGUCUUCGCCCCACUGAACCGGCAAAGUUCAGUCCUGAAAUCAUCCAGACCAGACAAGUUUAAUGCUCGUCAUGAUAACAUAUUGAAAACCUCAGAUGAGAUCAUUUGCAUAUAAAAAUGCUUCAUUCCAAGCCAUAUAAGUUUGAUGGUUAACAAUGGUGUCUCGAUGAGGUUAUUCGCACGGUCAUGACGAAUAUUCUCAGAGGUACAUCAGAUCCUAAAACCCCUUGGCAGACGCCCAAAAACCCUUUCAAGUGUCACAUAAUUUAUUUUUCUAGAAUUUAAUUUCUAAAAAAAAUUACUUUUCAAUAAAUAAAGAGGGAUUUAACUAACACCUCCCGAGUCCUAACGGAUAUUAUGGACCCGUAGGGUACAUAUUGCCCCUCAUGAUCUUGCUUUCUUCUUUUAGGGCCCGCAUGUUGAUAUUCACCAUCUUGGGCACUUCCGUUCUCCAUUGCCAGAGACGUUCGAGGCAGUGAAGCUCCCCAUCCCGCAUUAACGGUGGUUCUUCCCAUGAUGUUCUUCUAACUUUUUCCAGGUCCUGAGAAAAUAAGCUUGCAAAAAGUGAAGGUUAUAAAAUUGUCAUUCAGUAUCUUCCAGUUGAUGAAUAAUACUUACAUCUCGUCUCGUAAUUAGACGUAAUGUAUAUAACGUGGCAUUAGUUAAUUGGAAUUAAAAUAGAUUGUUUUAAAAAAAUCACUAGCAGAAUGACAUAUAAUAUUUUUAUUAGUUAUAUAAUAAGAUUUCUGAAAAAAAUACUGACAAAAUAAAACAUGUAAUUUUUUUUUGCAUGCUUUUCUGUCAAUAAAUUCAUCGAUAAUAAUAUUUUUUUAUUACAAACAAAUAAAAAUUUUUGAUUAAAGAUUCACUGAUAAGGUAUUUUUAUCUAUAAUUUUGUCAAUAAAUUAAUUACUAAUAAAAUAAUAACACAAAUACUAAUAAAAAAAAAUUCAUUAAUAAAUAUAAAAAUUUUAAUAGUGGAUAGGGGCCUGGUAGAGCUCAUGUCUUGACAAAGUCUAAAAAUGACAAGUGACAAGUUGACAACUUGUCAAAUUCAUAUACAUCUUGGUUGAGUAGCCAAAAAAAAACCAAUAAAUGCUGAUGUAUCAGUUUUAGUAAAAAAAAAACUUAUAACGUAGCUCGCGCUACAUUGCAGGUCAAUUUUUUUAUAUAAAAAAUAUUUAAAAAAGUUAAAAUUUUAAAGUGUUAGGUUUUUUUACAAAGUUAUACUUAAGAGCAUUGGGUCUAUCUAUUACUCCUAAUCCAAAAGUUAUAUUAAUAAUAAUAUUAAACUUGCAUGAUCCAAGUUUAAGUGAGUUUGGUUGCAACAUCAAACCUGAAGCCUUUGAUAUGAGUCUGGUUGCAAGAUUUUAUUAUAAAAAUGUGAUAAUUAAAAAGAAUAAAAAAUUAAUAUCACAGAAUAAAUAAAAAAUUAAUUGGAAAGAAAAAAAACAAUAAAGCAAAGCAUUAUUUCGAUGAAUAGUGCCUUGCAAGGAGGGGUACAGUAAAAUCCCCUCAUGAGAUCACAAUAAUUUAAUGACAAACAAAACAAAUUAUAAAUUUUAAUUCUUAAUCAAAUCGAUAUUAAAAAAAUGAAAUUGAAAGAAAAAAACUACUUAAGAAAAGGAAAAAGAAAAAUCUUAAUUAAUUGGUUUAACCCGUCAAACCUGAGAUUCGUGUCAUAAAAUUGAAAGAAAAAAGAAUGAUGUCUUUUAGUUAUAGUUAAUUACAAUAUUUAAAGAUGAAAUCGGAAGAAAAAACUAAUAAAGUAAAAGAAAAAAAAAUAUGAAUCAACUGGAUUGGCCCACCAAAUCAGGUUAACCCAUCAGACCUGAGAUCGUGUCAUGAGAGUGUGAUAACUAAAUAAAAAAAAAUUAACAUUAAUAAAAUAAAAUGAACAAAAAAAAGAUUAAUUAAAAAGAAAAAAAAGGAAAAAAAAAACCUACAUGAAGAAAAAGAAAAAAAAUCUGAAUUAACUGGGUUAACCCGUCAAACGAGGUUAAUCCGUCAAACCUGGGAUUCGUGUUAUGAAAGUUUGAUAACUAAAUAGAAAAAAACUUAAUAUUAACAAAAUAAAUUUUAAAAAAUAUAAUUAAAAAAAAAAGCAAAAAUACUAAACAAAAAAAAUAUUAAUUUAAAAAAAAAACAAAGAAAGAAAAGUCUGCAUGAAGAAAAAAACUAAUGAAGAAAAAGAAAAAAAAAUCCUAAUUAACUGGGUUAACCCUUCAAACCAAGUUAACUCGUCAAAUCUGGGAUUCGUGCCAUGAAUGUUUGAUAACUGAAUAGAAAAAAAAAAAUUUACGUUUUAACCUAGAAUUAGCUAGGUUAAUUCAUCAAACCCAGAAUCCGUGUCAUGAAAGUUUGAUAGCCAAAUAGAGAAAAUUUAACAUUAACAAACUAAAUUAAAUGAAAAAAUAAUUAAAAAGAAAAAUCAGAAAAAAUUCAGGUUAACGCGUCAAACCCAGGACCCAUGUAAUGAAAUUUUGAUAACUAAAUAAAAAAAAUUUAACAUUAAUAAAAAAAAUUAAACAAAAAAAAUAUUCAUUAAAAAAAACAAAAAAAACAAAACAACUUAAAAAAAACAAAGCAAAAGGCAAAAAAAAAAAACAGCUUAAAAAAGCAAAGCAAGCAAAAAAUAAAAGACAGAUAAGCGUUUCACUGUGGAUUGCAUUCGAAAAAAUUAAUUAAAAAGAAAAAUCAGGAAAAAAAAACCAGAUUAACCCAUCAAAUCCAAAACCUAUAUCAUAAAAAAUUGAUAAUUAAAUAGAAAAAAAAUUAACAUUAACAGAAAAACUCAUUCAUUAAAAAAAACAGCUUAAAAAAACAAAGAAAAGGAAAAAAAUAGUAAAAAAAACAAAGUAAAAACCAAAAAAAUUAAUAAAAAAAAGAAGAAGACAGAUGAGCUUUUUAUGUGGAUUGCUACAGUAAAAAACCGAUCCUUUUAGUAUAUUUCUAAUACCAGCAUUUAGAACCCUAUCGGACAUUCAAUUAAGUUUUAUUUGCGAAAUUGAACAAGCUUUUAAAAGCUAAUUUAAACACAUAAACGCAACAUUAAGGAAAAAAUUAUCAUUUAAUAAUGAUAAAACAUCACAAACAUAACGCAAGAAGUCAAAUGACUUCCUCGAAGCAAAUUUAUCAAACUUGGCCUGGGUUGACAGGUCGACCUGCGACCUGUUUACCCGGGCUUUCAAACUGGAUUGGAAAUUAAUUUUGUUAAACAAAGGUGAUAUGUUCUAUCAAUUAAUUUUUUUAAAUAAAAAACAACUUCGUUUAUUUAUGUUUAUUUAAUUAUUUAUACCUUUUAUAUCUAAACGAGCCUGGACUUAGAUCGAAUCAGAUGACGAGCCUGGUCUGAUAACUUAGCCUUGAAGUUUAUUCUGUUAGAUCAUUAUUGUUUGCUGUGUUAGGCAACAGAUAUCCCUCUAUUCAUACUCAGCUUAAUUUUUCAAUUUCGACUUUUAAAAAUAUGGAGAGAUAUAUGUCAAAUUCCUAUCGGUUCUGAUUUUAAGGAAAAAUAAAAAUUUAUUAAGAAUUAAAAAAAUGCUAUUUUUUAUAUAAUUUGAAAAAAAUAUUUUAAACUUUAUUUUAUAAAGCUAAAAAAUUACUAAAAAAUAUAUUUAAUUUAUAUUCAUGUAUACAAUACUUGUUAAUUUAUUUAAUACUUGUUAAUUUAUUUUUUAACUUUAUUUAAAGCCAACAAUGAUUAAAAAAUAUAUUUAAUUUUUAUAACACUUUUUUAUGUAUUCAUCAAAAUUUUCAUGAAAAAUUAAAUUGAAAAAUCAUGGCUAUGAAAAAACAAAAAUACUCAUUUACUCCCUCAAAUAUGUUUCAUCAGUAAAUCCAUAAUUUUUCUUCGCUGAAUAUCAUUAGAUUUUCAUAAAAAUAUAUUAUUAUAAAAGUGAACAUCUUAGUGAUUUUUUAAAAUUUUAUUAUUAUUUUUAGAGUUCUUAAUAAAAUUUUCUUUAAAUUAGAACCAAUAGAAAUCUAACUCGUGUUCUUCCAUAUCUUUAAAAGACAAAAUUAAUGAAAUAUUACGUUUACUCUGAACAGAGAGAUCUAUACUGCCUAGUAGACAAAAUCAUAGAAACCCAAUUAUAUAAAUUUAAACCAUAAGGAUAUCUUUAUCAAAUAUCAAUAUAUCAGAGAGAUUCAUAGUACCAUCAAACCAAAGUUAUACCUAAACUUGUCAUGCAAUAAAACACGUGCAUAUUCAUACAAUAAAAAUAAUAAAUAGACGUAUUUCUCCCUUUCUAUUACAAAGAUCAUUGCAAUACUUAGUAGAUGCAAACGGAAGGGAUGUGAGCUAUCUUAGGCCAGUCCUCUCCUCGCUCCUUCGAGCACCUUUUCUUCAAAUUUGGACAAUGGUUAAUCAUCAAGUGGCUGAGGUUGCUGAGACUCUGUAGCCCUUCUGGCAAACAUACCAAAUUAGGGCAAUCCUGAAUUUCCAGGCGUGAAAGGGAUAUGAGAUAACCAAUCUGAUUUGGCAAGGAAGUUAAUCCCUUGCAUUCAUAGAGUCUUAGAGAUCGGAGAGAAGUAAGAUGUUGGAUACUCUUUGGCAAUGAAUUCAGCUCUGGACAAAGUUCAAGCUCCAAGAUUUCAAGUGCCGUCAGAUAUUGCACUCCCUCGGACAGAGACACAAAUUUAUCACAAUUUCUAACAGAUAACCUACGAAGAGAAGAUAAGCCGGACAACCCAUUCAUUGGCAGAGUGUAUAAUCUUGUACAACUAUUUAUCUGUAAAACCUCCAAAGAAGUGAGUUUUCGAAGACCUUCCUCUGGCAAGCUUUCAAGUUCAUAACAAUGCUGGAUACUCAAGCUUUUAAGAGCUGAAAGGUUGUCAAAUACCUUAUUUGACAAAGACGAUAGAUUUCUCAUCCCAACCAUACAUAAGGACUCGAGGAGUGUAUGAUUUUGCAAGAACCCAUCUGGAAUCAGCCUCGCAUCAAUCCUUGCAAUAAAAAGGUAUGUGAUAGAAGUAAAUUUCAUAACUGACAUCAGUAACGAAACAUUGCCUUCAGUGAUGUGUAAGCUUUUGACGGAAGGUAUAAUUGGUAUUUCGGUCAACAAGGGGCAAAGAACUACAGAUAAUGCUUUAAGACGAGGAAAACUACACGGAGCCCAUUGCUCUAGUCUCUCCAUUGAAAUAAAUGUCAGGCUCUCCAAAGAUGGGAAUGGAUUUUGCUCAUCUCCAUACACAUGGCUGUCAAUACACUUCACACCAUCCAUUCCAUCUAGUUCAAGAUUCUUGAGGAACUGUAAUUUCCCAAAUGGUGGAAGUUGUUCACAGUUGCCACAUGCUGUUAGCUUCAUCUCUACUAGAUUCGGUAGCAUCAAGUUCAAGUUCAUCAUCCACUUUGGAAAUUUUGAACCCCCAUAUCCAAUUAAUCUCAAUUUCUUCAGAUUUGAAUGAGGUUGAAGCCCAUCAAGGACAUCCUCAUUACUUUCAGCUGAUUGCACACAAGUAAAAGGGCGGCGACCUCCAUUCUCAUUCCAAGAUAAAUUCAGUGAUAGAAGAGUUGUCUUCAACUUCAAAUUGGCACUUCUGGCAUCUGUUAAAUUCUUAACAUUAACAAGAUCUGUGAUGCUUAGUUCACCAGCAAGAUUAUUCAGCCUUUCUAGCUCCCCUAAGUGACGACCAUCCUCCUUACCCACAAUGAACAGGCCAAGUUUUCGCAGGCAUAUUAAUUGUCCCAUUCCAAAUGGCAUAAAUCGAAGUGAAUCACAGCCCGUGAUGUCAAGAUAGAUGAGACUUUUCAUAUGCUUCAUACCUCUAGGUAAUUGGAUGAGCCGUGUACAAUGACUCAGAUUUAGUGUCUGUAGAUUUUGGAGCGAGGUGAUUGAUGCAGGCAAUUUUUUAAUGUGGGAAUUGGAGACAUCUAGAAACCUUAGAUGUUUCAAAUAACAAAUUGACUUUGGCAAUGUAUUGAGAUAGGUACCUAUAUGCAAGGCUCUCAGAUGCUUUUGUUGGGUGAAAUAAAGAUGCAAAUCAACACUCACAAGGCGUGUGUGAUGAUAAAAUCCAGAAAGCAAAAUUGAGCGUAGAGACCUAGAUUUGAAAUCCUUGUCUUCUGGAACAAACUGUGAUGAGUAUGCACCCACAUGACGAAUUGUUUUAGGAAUUUGCAACUUUGUAUUGCCCUCAAUCAAACAACAUUCUCUCUUCAUAAUGUACUGUGCAAGAUCAUGGAUAAGAUCAUGCAUUUUACAUGUCAUGUAGCCCAGCGAAUAUACCUUAACUUCUUGAAAAAAAGACCUCCCAACUAAUUCGUGGAAAAUCUCUUCACCCUUAUCGUGCAAAUCCAUUUGCCCAGUGCUCGAAAUGAAGCCAUUUGCCAUCCAUAGAGCUACCAACCGCUCCUUCCGAAUGACAUAAUCUUUGGGGAAUAUAGAGCAAAAUGCAAAGCAUUGCUUCACAGCUGGCUUUAGAUUCAUAUAACUCAAACUCAAGGCAGGUAAUAAUAUCUGGCUUCCUUCAUUUGGCAGAUCCCAAAUCUCACUUUCUUUGACAGACAGCCACUCCCUUUCACUUUUCUUCGAGCGCAUCAGGCUUCCGACUGCUCUUAUAGCCAACGGAACUCCGCUACACUUCUUAACUAUCGCUGCUCCAAUGUUUUCCAAGUGACCAUACUCCUCUCUCCUUCUCAUACCAAAUGCAAGCUGCUUAAAUAAAAGCCAGGAAUCCUCAUCCGACAAUGUUUCCAUAUGUUGAACAGGAUUUGUGGCCAUUUUUUCAGCCAUAGUUCCCAAACGAGUAGUCACAAUAACUGCACUUCCUUUAGCUCCACAACUCAAUGCAUCUUUCAACUUGCUCCAGUUAUCAUGGUCAUCAUCCCAAACAUCAUCCAAUAUGAGCAAAAACUUCUUACCACCUAAAUUUUCUUGGAGGCAUCGUAGAAGAGCAUCCAACUGUUGAAUAUUUGGAGUAGUGCGUUGAAUGGACUCGAUGAUGGCUGCUGUCAAUCUUUUUAUGUUGAAAUCAACUGAUACGCACACCCAAAUCCGCAAAUCAAAAUGCCCUUCUAUUCUUCCGUCGUUGUAGACUAAUUGAGCAAGUGUUGUUUUACCCAAGCCCCCCAUUCCACAUAUAGCAUAAAUAGAGAAAUCAUCUGAACUGGUGAGCAGCAUGUUGACCAGAUCUUCUUUCUCCUUGCCCCUUCCAUAAAUUUCUGAUUCAUUCACCCAUGACCAAGUCUGACGCCAAUCAAAACUAUCUGCUUCUAUCUCCAAAGCCCCUUCAAUUAAAUGGAAAUCGUGUCUCCCCUUGGCAAUGCGAUCUAGUGUUUCUGUAACAUUCUUCAAUUUACGAGCCAUCCUUUGUCGAAAAACAAGAGGAUUAUGAUUGAUAGAAAAGAAGCAUGUUAGCCAAUUUUUGAGAUCUCUUCGCUGCUGAUGCCACUGAGCUUCAAAAGCAAACUCAUCCAGUACAUCAUCAACAACAUAAGCUGCAUCCUUGAGGUCGCUGAGCCACACCUUGAUAGGCUUACUCUUCCACUGCUUCUCCUCUGCAUCUUGCAGCACAGCUUGAAUGGUUCUGAACGUGCGCUUGAGAUUUUCAAGCUCGGUCGUUAGGCCCCUAGCAAGUCCAAGCUCUUGAAGAACUAGGGAAUUCAAGUUCCCCAUUAUUGUACUCGCGAGAGCAGAAAGAAUUGCAUCACCCAUGGCUUGUUUUGGAAUGGAAAAGAAGAAGUAGAAAAGGUGCAAGGAAAACUAAAAGCAGGGGAGGUGAGCAAGAAAUGGCAAGUAAAAAUUGAGAAGACAGAGCAGUAUGAGAUGAAAAAUGGAAAAGGCUAACAGCAGUCUCUGAUUAUAUUGAUUAGGCUCCACACGGUGCAGGCUUGACUUGGCUAUGCCUAUAAUAGUAUAAUAAAGCAAUUGAAGUUUCAGAGAAGGAACAUAGCUGUGAUUUCAAGCAACAUUUGUCAAUUAUCGCAUGCCUUUUCCUGCUUUAAACAGAAACGUGAUUAACGCUUUUGGCUGUGAAUUCUCAAGGGUAUUUUUCUUUUCAAUAUAUUCUCCAUUAGUUAGACACAGUGCAAAAAGUUUUUCAUAAAUGUGUUUUAAUCCUCGGUUAGAGUUAAUUUAUUCUUAAUGACAGUAGAAUGACAUCAUAAUCACAACUAAUCUCAAAAACUUAUUUAAUCAACUUAAUAUUAAAUAAUAAAAUUUUAAAAAAAAAUCGAGGUAAUCAAGCAACCCGCGACCUGGACAAAUUCCAACAGGAACACAAGAUUGGUUAUGUAAAAGAGAAGUGCAGAAGGACCAAAUAAUUGCUCACUCCGUGGAAUAAACAAAUAUUAGUCUAUCUUGGACAUGAAUAGAGAAAGGUUAUUAUAUUUUCAAAUAUUUGUGAUUUGAGAGUUGUGUUUAAUUUUAUCAAAAUAUUAAAACCGCUGUCUUUUAACUACACUGAUUAGGCUCCACACGGUGCAGACUUGACGAACAUUGAAUGUCUGUAUUAAAGCAUUGAAGUUUCUGAGCAGCGGCACGGCUGUGAUUCGAAGACAACAUCUGUCAACUUGAAUUUCCUUGUUGGUUACUAAACGUUUUCUUCCCGCGCUUGCCAACCCGCGUGGCUCUACACACUUAAAUUUUAAAGAAUUACAUUAGGCUCCACACGGUGCUGACUUAACUAGCCAUGCCUGUAUUAAAGCAAUUGAAGGUUCUGAGAACCAACACGGCUGUGAUUAGAAGACAACAUUCCACCUUGAUUUUUUUUUUCAAUUGAAGUUUUUGCUUGCUCAAAUAAUUUAUCUAUGCUAAAGUCAAAAUGUAUUUUUAUAACGAAAUAAUUACUUUCUCAAAUAAUUCUGAUUACAAAACUUUAAAUACCAUUGAAAAUGAUUUUUCAAUAAGAAAAAUGCAUACAUGCCUAGUUGCUCAUAUGCUAAUGUACUUAUCCACUACUGUGCUAAUUUGUGAAAUAUUUUUGUCUAUUGCGUGUAGAAAAAAACUCUCAAAUUUCUCUUUGUUCUCUGUUGUACCAUCAAAAGAAAAAUCCAAAGUGAUAAUGCAACAUCCAAAAGUAUAAAAUAUGGUAUAAAAACCAAAUAAAAAAAAUAAUAAUUAGGGAUUAAAUUAAAAAAUAAAAUAAGAAUUUUUUUUUAAAAAUAGCAAUAAAAAAAUAAAAACUAUUAUUUAAUGAAGAAAUUAAAUGAAAUAAAAUAUUGAAAGUUAAAAAUAAAAAAUAAUAAAUCAAGAAAAUAAUAAGAAAAAAGAAAUUAAAAGAAUAAUGAUAAAAUUUAAAUUUAAAAAUUUUAAAAAAUAAAAUGAUAAAGGAAAAAUAAAUCAAGAAAAAAGUAAAUUAUAUUAAAAAAAAAAACAUUCAACAAAACAAGAAUUAAAUUAGAUACCAAAACUAAAUAAAAUAACUGACUGGGCUCUACGUGCAGACUUUGACUAGCCAUGCCAAUUGAAGUUUCAGAGAAGUAACAUGGCUAUGAUUUGAAGACAGCAUUCAUCAACUUGAAUUAGCUUGUCGGUUAGUAGGUGUCUUUGUCCCGCACUGGCCACUCCGCGUGGGUCUCACACGCCAGGCAUGAAAGAGAAGAAUGCCUCAAUCAGAUGAAUGAACAUAAAAGAUGGAAGAAAAGAAAAGAUGGAGGGGUUGCUUUUGUAUACUCCCCAAAGUCAAGAACGUCCUUUAGGUGGGUCUCCACGAAGAAAUUUUGCAACCAAGAGGCAAUGUACCCUUCACUUUCAUAUCCAAAGAUCGCAAAAGAUCUGAUCAAAACUGUGAUGCAAUUUUGCCCGUGUGAGAUGGAGGAACUUCCCGGAGGAGGGAGGGUUUUUAGGCGAGUUAUUAGUAGGGGAAUAAGGCUUGGUUUCAUUGCUAUGGAGGAACUUCCCGGAUUCCGGCUACAAGCCUAUCUACCUAUCUUUAACUUGUCCUUGUGGGUGUGAGUUGUGACUUCUGCUUCCAACAUAUGGAUUGUGCUUUAUAUAAUUUUAUAAAGAUCCAAAAUUGCAUGAAAAAAAAUAAAAAUAAUAUAAAACUUUAAAGAGAGAAAUAAUUAAGCGUUGAAGAGACACCAUAAUUCUAUUAUAGGGAAACCUCAUGUUACUCUCCAACUUGUAUAUCCAUUCUCAAUUACAUUUAAAACCUAUGAAUUUUUUCAAUUAGGUUCCAAACAUUUCAAAAUAUUCUCAAUUAGUGUUUUUUUUUUUUCUGUCAACGUUGUCGGUAUUUUUGUCAAAUCUUCUUAAAACUGAUGUCUGUUUUAGAGCAUAAAUAUACAUAUUGGAUAUAAAAAAUGUGAAUACUCGUAAAAAAAACAGUUCCUCUAUUUUUAAAAGAUAAAUUAAUUAAUCUUUUUUUAAAAAUAAAUUACCUAGUUCAUUGACCAGGUUAUUUUUUUUAUAAUAUUUAUUUAUUCAUUUCCUUUCUUCUAUUUUCUUUUUUAAAAAACGUAAAUGAACAGAAAGGACUAAAUAAUUUGUUUUUUAAAAAAUAACUAAUUAAUUCAUUUCUCAAAACUAAAAGGACUUAGUUUUAUAAUUUAGACCACAAGGGUGCAUUGGAAACCUCGGACUCCAAGGGUGAGUCAUCUCCACGUGACUAUUGAGGAUUAGGAUGAAUAUUAAAAGUGACCUUACCUGCAACACGUGGUCGUAUGGUCUUUCAAUUUCAGGUGACACAUGGGUCCCACAAAACCAUCAUCAUUUUAUUUCAUUUUCCCCUGUGCCUUGUGGAGAGAAAAAGAAAACCAACCAAGUCUUCUUCCUCCCUCUCUCCAGGACAGGAAGCGGGACCCAAUCUCAAAUACCCAACCCAAUCCUAGCCGUUGAUUGUUUUUUUCCUGGAUUCCUACUCUCUCUAUCUAGCUAUCUACCUGAUCCAGCUGGAUUUAGCUGUUACAAACUGUAACAAUCAUAUUUCACCCGCUUGAGUUGAGCUUGAGCUAUCUACCUAGCUAAGCCAAAAUUAGUUCAAACCGAUCGGUUUUGGUUUGUUUUUUUAGGAUAAAAAGCUGGUUUGGCUCGGUUUUCUUGGUUUUGGCUUAUUUUUUUCCGGUUUUGGCUCUGCUUUUGAUUUGGCUCGGUUUUUUCUGAUUUGGAUCCAAUCUGGUUUGGUUUUUUGGUUUUAGACUUAUAAAACCGAAAUCAAACCAACUGAUUUUUUAAAAUUUUAAUUAAUUUUUUUUAUGAUUUAAUUUUUUCAAUUAUUUUUUUUCCAGUUUUUUAAUUUUUCGAUAUUUUUACUCACUCCAUCGUAUGUUUUGUUUUUUACAGUAAAGAAGGCUGGUGUUCUUACUAUUAGUUUUUUUUCAUAUAUAUAAAUUAAAGAUCAUUAAUGGAAUCUGCCAUGGAAAGAAUAUUCAAAUAUUAGAGAAAUGCACAGGGACAAAAUAAUUGCUCACUCCCUGGAAUAAUCAAAUAUUAGUCUAUCUCGAACAUGAAUAGAGAAAGGAAGAAAAGAACACGUCAUGACUUUGAACAGAGGAAGUAAUAAUUGCCCAUUCGCCUUGAAAUUCUAGCUGGACAGCAUUUGGAAUUUCACGAGGCAAAAGAUUCUUAACAAUGAGUUAAAUCUCCUUUUUGAGGUGACCUGACCUGUCGGAAUUGCUUUAUAGACAAGAAUGGAUUCAUGAGUCAUAUUCUACAAGAAACAAGCAAGUCAUUUGACUCACAUAACAAAGAUGGAAAUAUAUUUCCCCUUUAAUACAGAGCUAAAAGGGUACGCUAGAAAUUUAAAAAAUUUUAAAAGUACAGUCCAAACAUUGUAUAAUUACCCUCACCAAACUCUUUCAAUAAUAGAUACCAUUUGUUACUCGCAUAUUACAUAUAGGUAUUUCAAAUUCACGUGUGCUUGCUAGUGAUUUUCUUCCCAUGCACAUAUCUCAAGUAAAUGAAAGCAGGCUUCUUGGAACAUGAAGAAACUGAGAGGUGCCCGUGCCCUUGCCUUUUCAGCUACAGCGAAGCACCAAUCCAGAGGUCCGUUCAUGGCUUUUCAGCAAACAAAGGAAACCAUUGGCGAUGCUUUUACGGAGUGCUCAAUCACUUUCAUAUUUUUUACAUUAGAAUUUAGAUGGAUACAUGUGAGUGUCGAUAGGAAAUAUGCCUUCAUCUGUAGUCGCCUAGUAGGUCCUACCGGAAAGAAACGCUGUCAAUUCCUACUCCAUGGUGGUGGGUGGGCCUUCUGAAAGCAGCAUUCAGCGGGGGAAGUCCUCAGUCAAUUCCUACUCCAUGCUUUUACAGAGUGCUCAAUCACAAUUGUUGCCAGUCGGGUUAUAAAUUUCAUUUUACUAACAAAACAAUGUUCCUGGGCAACACAUCUCCCCUCGAGUUAUAAAUUUCAUUUUACUUUUUUUUUUCGUUACUGACAACGUAUAAAUUUCAAUUUACUUAAUUUUUUACUGAUAAUUUCAUUAUAACUUAAUAACAAAAUGUAAGAUCAUAUAUACUAAGAUUCGCUCCAAUAGAAGCAAUGACCAUGAUGCAGGUGACACAUGGAAAAGUUAUACAGUAAAUGUACGGGUCAUUCUCAGGGCUUUUUUUUAUUUUAUUUUUUUCUUGUAGUUUUUCUAAUAUACUCAUGACAGAGUAGACUUGUCCUAUCUAUAGACGAAUCAACUGUUCAGAAAUGUUCCACAAAGAGUAUGGCAGGCCCAAAAACACUCACUAUGUUUUGUUAAUGUAGGCAUGCAGCUGCUCUUUCCUGGGCCUUUCUCUUUGUUGUUUUUAACAAAAAAGCAAGAGAAUCCAUUUACUCCAAACACCUUCUCCAGGCAUUCAUAUCAAACGAACCCUAGCUACGUGUGAAGAAGAUUGAAAGAGAAUGAUCAGUGUAAGGAUACAUAAGAGGAUUUAAAAGCUGUGAAAGCUUGCUCAUGUAGUCGCUGGAUGAAUUAAUCGAGGAGUUUACAAAUAGGCUGGAAUUGCAUCGACACUGAAAUUAACACCUUCAAUUACAAAAAUGAUUUUUGACAUUUUGCAGAUAUGGUUCCUUAUCUACAGCUCUAGUGAUAUUUAGAGAGAGUUUUCGGCAAAUGCAGCCCACAUUACUAUUCAAUCCUCAUGGAUGAUGCGUGGCAUCAGAUCGAAUUGUUGAGUUUUCGCGUUGAUAAUCUUCAAAAUUUUCUGCAUUUGGACCUAACCUGUGAGAUGAAGGUUUUAUUCGUCAUGACUGUUGCAAAAACUUAUUUAAAUCAUCGUUUAUUUUCAAAUUAAAGAAAAAUAUUUAUGAUCACAUUUAGUUAAAAGUUACUCUUUAGAAUCAAAUUGAACUAGAUUUUUUAAUUCAUGUCAUCUCAACUAACUUUUAUCAAACGCUUAUAAGAUCAUAGAUCCUUAUGAAUAUAGUAAUUUUUUGUAGUUGAAUAAUGGGUUUAAUCAAAUCUCCAUGCUAUUAGAUUCAUUUUUCAUGACACAAAAAGGUGAUAGCUUGAUGUAAAAAUUCUAACACUUGCAAAAUAGUUUUUUUUUUAAUGGAUUUGAAUACCUUCAAAUGCUUAAUUAAGCAAGAGGAAAAAUAUAAUAAAUAUGCAAAAGAAUAUUAAAUUCUAAUAACAAAAUUAUUUGUUUUUGUUUUGAUAUGAAAAUAUGUAUUUUAUAAGAAAAUGAUGAGUGUAUGUUGAGAUUGAAAAUUAUAAACCUCUUAUAUGGAUAGUUUAAGGAGUAUCUAUACCCAAAAACAUUAUCAUUUUCCUUAAGUGAAGGGGGUUUGAAUGUUAUUUCACCAUGAUAGCAUUAAAGAAGAACAAAAAUCUUUCAUAUAUAUAUAUAUAUAUAUAUAUAUAUUAAAGAGAGAAAAAUAUUUCUAACAUAAAUAUUAAUAAAAUUAAAAAUAAUACGUAAUAAAAAACUCUUGUACACCGAAAAAUAUAGAUUGAACAUGAUUCAACUAAAGAACUUGAAUAAAAUAAAAAUAUCAAGAAAUUUGAUACGGGUAGAAGCCACAAGACAAUGCUCAAAAGGUAUUAAGCCUAGCAUGGGCCUAAAACCUUUUUUAAAAUGUUCUUCCUGAGUUGUCGUUAAAACAUGCUUGGAUUAACAUGUAAAAUGAUAAGAGAAUAAUAGAAUUUGCUGGAAUGAAAAUUAUUAUUGAUUGCAUUGCAUAUUUAUAUAAGAGUAUCUACAUUUAUUCUCUUCUACUAUGAAUCCAACACUUGGAAUUCAUUGUCCUAUAAAGAAUUAUUAUUACAGUAGGGAAAUCAUGUAUAAAUUAUUCAUUCCUAAUAUAUCUCUAUCAGGAUUCCUAAUACUCCCCUUCAAGUCGAAGAGUGGAUGUCCUACACUCCCAACUUGUGAAUCAUAGGAAUGAAGACAUCUUUUACUAAGGGUUUGGUGAAGAUGUCUGCCAAUUGAUGGUCAAAAUGAACAUGUCUUGUUAUCAUAGAAUCAUCUUGAAUUUUUUCCUUGAUAUAGUGACAGUCCAUCUUAAAAUGUCAGGUGCACUCAUGAAACACUAGGUUGGCUACAAUGUGUAAUGCAACCUUGUUAUCAUAAUGUAGUAAAGCAAGUUCAUGAUGUAAAAGGCCUAAAUCCCUCAACAGACAUCGGAGCCAUGUCAACUCACAACAUGCUCCUGUCAUUGCACGAUACUUUGCCUCUGCAGAGGAGAGUAAGACUGUUUUUUGUCAUUUUGAUCUCCAGGAUAUCAAUAAGGGUCCAAGAAACACACAAUAACCCGUGGUAGACCUCUGAGUUAGUGGGCAACCUGCCCAAUCCGAGUCUGAAUAAGCUCUUAAUUUGUAAUCAGUGUGUGAAGGAAAGAAUAACCCUUGACCAGGAGCUCCUUUCAGAUAUCGGACAACCCGGAAAAGCCAGCUUCCAUAUGAAGCUUCCGGGGUUGGUGCAUGAAUUUGAGGAACUGCAAGUUCCUCAAUGGUGGAAGUUGUUCACGGUGGUCAACACAUUUCAUUGUAUAUAAUAAUAAUAAUAAUAAUAAUAAUAAUAAUAAUAAUGUACUCAAAAUUUAGAAGUUAUAAAAUAAAGAUUUUGAAUUUUUAUAUCUUAUAUAAGAUAAUAAUUCUUAUCAAACAAUUUCUUACCGUCAUAAUCAUUAUAUCAGCCACAAUAAAAACUAUCGGAGCCAGGUUGUUGGGCAUAACCUAGAGCAUUCUUGCGUAUAUUUUCUAAAAGAGAAAGAAAACAUUUUUUCAUGAUUUUUACUUUUUUAUUCUUAAAUAAACAAACAUUCAAAAUUAACUUAAACAUUAGGAUGCAACAACAACUCCAAUUCCAAAAACAAAAAAUAACAAAAUAAUAUGAAAGCAAGUAACACUCAUAUUUAUACAUUCUAAAAAAGAUAUACCCAUCGCUCUUGCGUGAGCUGCUCCAAGUGAUCUAGUCACCAUCAACCUCCAACAUCUCACUCAAGCAUUAGAAAAACAUCUAGGCAUAAAACAAGCCCCAUGACUCACAUAAAAAAAAUAUUUCAGCUUCCAUUGCCCAGAAACCUCCCUCCCUCCCUCAGUUUUUAUGGUUUAAUUCUAUAAUAAACUUCAAGCUAUUAGGAUAAUAUUGAAUUUAUAUUUAAACUAUUUUAAUUAUAAUUAUUCCGAGUCAUCAGAUCAUAUGUUGCUACAACGUAAUUUUUCUAUAGACAAAAUUUAUUUUAUAAUGCCGGUGGGGUAUCUUUUGGAGUGUUCAUGUAGAAAUUUAAGCAGAGUAAUGAAGAGACAUGAGGCAGUGCAAUAGUGAAACAAAGUUAUUCAUUCAUACCUCUUUCUUAUGUUGUACAUGUAGAGUGGGAAAAACUUGCAGCAAGGAAAGACAAUCUUGCGUAUAUUUUCUCCCAUGAUUAUUGCUAAGAUUAUAUGUUAAUAAUAAAUACACAAUCAUAUCUAAACUAGAUAACAAGUAAGUUAUACUUGAUGAGUUGUUGCCAAUGGUUAGGUUUCAGAGAAAGACAUGGCAGCUCCUCCUUUACGGGUAUGCUAUAUAUAUACUUCAUCCAACCAACAAAAGAGAAGUAAUAUAUUUUUCUCUGCAGACAUCUACAGACAAAGUUCUUCUCUGCAGUGAAGCCAAUGUAUGGGAGACCUGUGACCCCUGACUUUUUUUUUUAAUUAAUAUGGUUCGAUUAAUUCUAUCCCAUAAACCUUGAAAUUAAUAACUAUAUAAGCUUUCAAUAAUCUUGAAAAGAUUUAAAUUCAUGAUCAUUAAAGAAUAAACUCAAAAUUUAACUUGUUGAGUUACCCCUCAAGAUUUCUAAUACCCUGACUCUUGUUUACACACAAUGCCGGCGGUGCUAGUUAGGGGUGAUCAUUUUCGAUUUGGUUCGGUUUGAUUUUUAUUAAAAAAAAAUAACAAAACCAAUUUUUUUUUUAUUAAAAAAACCAAAACUAGUUCAAACCGACCGGUUUUGGUUCGGUUUUUUAGGACAAAAAGCCGGUUUGGCUCGGUUUUCUUGGUUUUGGCUAGGUUUUUUCCGGUUUUGGCUCUGGUUUUUUGAUUUGGCUCGGUUUUUUUUGGUUUGGGUCCGGUCCGGUUUGGUUUUUUGGUUUUAGACUUAUAAAACCGAAACCAAACCAACCGAUUUUUUUAAAAUUUUAAUAAGUUUUUUUCACGAUUCAAUUUUUUCAAUUAUUUUUUUUCUAGUUUUUUUAAUUUUUCGAUUUUUUACUCACUCUAUCGUAUGUUUUGUUUUUUACAGUAAAGAAGGGUGUUCUUACUAUUUUUAUUUAUAUUUUAUAUAUAUAUAUAUAUAUAUUAAAGAUCAUUAGUGGAAUCUGCUAUGGAAAGAAUAUUCCGUUAGCAAUUCUAAUUUUUUAGAUUUUUUUAAUUUCGACAACAAUUUUUAAUGCUAGCAAAAUAUUUCAUUGAUAUUUUUAUUGGUAUUAGAAAUCAUUAACGAGAUAAAAAAGUUUAAUGAGCAACUUUUUAAAGAUAAUAUUUCAUUAGUAAUUUCAUUGAUGUUUUCAUUGGUGUUAGAAAUCAUCAAUAAUUUCUAAUAAUAACAAAAUUCUCUCUAAAUACUGAUAUAAUAUUCUUUUAACAUUCCUUAAUUUUGUGCUAGUGUUUAACGUAAAUAACUUCCUUUUGUUUUUCAAUUAAACAAAUUAUCAUACUUUAAAUUGCAUACUGAUAUAUUUUUUUUCUUACUUUAAAAAUUAACUUAAAAACUUACAUGUAGUAUAACAAGAGUUAUUGCACCAAUGAGAACUAAAUACCAUUAUCUUGUAAAAAAAAAAAAGUAGGUUGCAGUCGAGAAAUAAUUUAUUUCCAUUUUAAUUUUGUAUUUUUGUACAAUUGUUUUAGGUUUUUUUGGGCUAAUAAAUUAUUAUUUUUUUAAGUUUUAAGGAUGUUGAUUAAAUUAUUUUUUUGAUGAAAAUAAUGAAAAUAAAUUUUUAGAUAAAAAGAACAUCCUCUCAAUUUUUAGUCACUUUUACUAGAAUUUAGAUGUGGAAGUUACACGUCAUUUGUUUCUUAAAAAAAUUAGAAAGAUGACAAAUUUGAAAAAAUAAUGAAAAAAGCCUUGAGAUGCAGUGGCAUAGGCUAGCAGACCCGCAUGCUUAGACUUAUUUUUAAAGGUUCCAUCUUGCUAAGCCACAGGACGUGUACCUUGCUUUUAUUAAAAAAAAAUUCCAAUAAUUUUGGUGUGAUUUCUUAAAUUUUAAUUAAUCAAAUAUUUAUUAGUUAUAUUAUUUUAUUAGAUUCUUAAAGUGAUUAAUUAUAUAUUUAGAUAUUAUUUUAGUUAAAGUUGAUCAUUUUUUACCAUGUUUUAGAAUAAAAUUAUUUCUGAACGUGCGGUUGAGAUUUUCAAGCUCGGUCUCUAGGCCCCUAGCAAGUCCAAGCUCUUGAAGAAUUGGGGAAUUCAAGUUCGCCAUGAUUGUACUCGCGAGAGCAGAAGUAAUUGCAUCAGCCACAGCUUGUUUUCGAAUGGAAAAUAAUUGGAUGUUGACAAGAAGAAGUAGAAAAUGUGCAAGGAUAACCAAAAGCAGGGAUGAGGAGACAGAGCAGUGUGGCAUGAGAAAUGGCAAAGGUGAAAGUGUCUGGUGAUGGUCUUUACUCUUGCUAUUGAUCAAUUCUUCAUUACAUUAAACACAUUAUACGUUUGCAAAAAACCCACCAAAGACCACACCUCCCAUCUAAACUGCCGUCCUUGACUAUUAUAUUGAUUAGGCUCCACACGGUCGAGACUUGACUAGCUGUGCUUCCAAUAAAGCAAUUCAAUUUUCAAAGAAGGAACAUGGCUGUGAUUUGAAGACAAGAUUUGUCUGCCGGUGUGAACACAAACUUUUGUUCAAAAUGUGAGCCAAAAUCCAAUAUUAAUCUAGUAUAUCAAAAAGUUGUAUUUUUUUUUUUGUGGUUGUUAUAAUUCUCUCUCAUCAAUUAAAAAUUUUUAAUCUUUAAUAUUGAAUUUUUAGGUUUAAAAAAGGUAAAAAUAACAAGUAAUCAAUUCUUUUUCAUGUUAAUUAUGGUUUGUUUAUGAAAACAUUAAAAAAAAAUAAGAUUUAUAAAGAUUUGAAGUUUAUGUUUUUAAAAUGAAUUCAUGAUUAUUAUAAAUUUAAGGUCAAGUGAUUAAUUUUGGAUGUGUUGUUAGAAAUAAGAAUUUGUGAAUUGAUUUGUUUAAUUAAUUUGUUAAGGGUUAAGAAAUUCGCUUCAACUUUGCUAGAAAAUCUGGACAAAAUAAUUUUGAGGUUGAAGAUAAAAAAAUUGUAUUUUGGUCCUUGAUUUAUGAAAAUUACAGUGUAGUUCCUAAACAUUGAAAAAUUAUAAUUUAACCUCUAACUGUAUUUUGGGAUUCUGAGUAGUAUUAUUAUGAGGUUAAGGAUAAUGACUCUCAGUUUAAUAAUUGAUUUGAGAUUUUUUUAGUGGGCCUUUAAUUUUGAAAGUUUACAUUUUAGUCCUUGAUCUUUAAAGAAAUGAUAGUUCGGUCCUUGGUUCAUUUCUAGAUAGAAUUGAAAAUGGUUUGUUGGUAAAAUUUCAGUAUGGUUAUGUAUUUACAAUUUGCUCCUCCAAUUUUGGUAAAAUUUUGUUUUGGUUCGUGAUUUCUAAAAAAUAUCGUUUUAGUCCUUAAACUCAUAAGAAUAAACCUGUUUUAUUUUAUGCAUUGAAAUAUUUUAUUUGUUGUUUUGGGUUGUUUUUUAGUAUAUUCUAUAUAUUUUUUUAUAAGCUCUCCUAACAAUCAUCAAUAAAAUUGCCAUAGCUUGUUUUCGAAUGGAGAAUAAUUGGAUGUUGACAAGAAGAAGUAGAAUAGGUGCAAGGAUAACCAAAAGCAGGGGUGUAAGCAAGAAAUGGUAUGUGUUGAGAAGACAGAGCAGUGUGAGAUGAGAAAUGGCAAAGGUAAAAGUGUUUGGUGAUGAGCUUUUCUUCUGUUAUCGAUCAAUUCUUCAUUACAUUAGUGAUUAAUAAUGUGGUGGUUCAAUUUUAUUAAGAUAUUAAAACUGCCGUCCCUGACUAUAUUGAUUAGGCUCCACACAGUUCAGAGUUGACUAGCUAUGCUUACAAUAAAGCAAUUGAAGUUUCAAAGAAGGAACAUGGCUGUGAUUUGAAGACCGAAUUUGUCUACUUGAAUUGCCUUGUUUGUUAGCAAACGUCGUCUUCUCUACGCUCAUUUUUUUUUUUAUCAGUGUCCAGUGGCCUUCGGUGACCCCAUAACCAUGCAGCCAAGCUGCGCAAUGGCCAGACCCUCGGAAACACCAAUAUUUUCCAGCGCUAGUGAAUGCAAGUUGCCCAAGAUUGUAAAUGCAAGCGCAGAAACAAGUGCACCAGCCAUGUUCUCUACUGAAGUGAAAAUGGGAACUGACACGGGUAAGAUAAAUGUUUUCCGACUAGGGUUCCUUUUCUUUUAUUUUAUGACAAGGAGAUAAGAUGAAGAAUGAUUCAAUGUCGCAAAAUCGACAAGAUCAAAAGGGUUCUAAAAUUAGAAGUGUAAGAUCAAAUGUAGGAAUUAGUAUACUUCGAAGGCACAACAGUCCUUGGAACAAAAAAAAAAAAAACUUGAUUACCCCAGAGACAGGACAACCAAGAACACACCAGUACGGCAUCCAUGGAGCUAUUUAACAUCUUUCUGUAUGCAGCAAGGUGGUCAUGGCCAUACCUGGGUUUUUUCCGAAGUUUUGAACCUCCAGAACCAUAUUUAUUUGAACAUAUAUGUUUACUCAAAUGGAAAAUCUAGACAGCAAACUUUAAUUUACAAUGCACUAGUGAACAGCCCUUCAUAAUCUGGAAAACAAUGUAAAUGCUAUUAUUAAUAGUUUCACCUUGUUAAGCCCAAAUGACUUUCACUUAAAGAGGAUGUGUUAGAGAAUAAUAUAAAUCAUAUUCUGAGACCUCACCUAAAAGCUUAAGCUUUUGAGUUGAGAUGAUUCUUUGACACUCUCGUCGCAACUUCAAUUUCAUUGAAGCCUUAGCAUUUUGUUCUCUUUGCUAUGUUUUCACUAGAAGCAUAUUUAUGGAAGAGAAAUCAUGGAUCUUUGGAACAACAUCUGCAUAAAUCUAAUUCAAACUCUAUCAUUGCAAUCCCUUUUGAAUUUCAUCACUUUUUUUUAAUUGAAAUAUGUGCUAAAAAGAACGUAAAGUUUAUGAGAAUUUUCUUUCUUUUGCCUAUUUAGGAAAUUCUUUAUCAAGGACGUAUAAAAAAGGAGUCAAUGGAGCUUUGCUUUGUUCUAGAUGAGCAUCCAUGCAUGGUUUAAUAGGUGGAGAAUAAAAUCUUCCAUGAAAGCUUUAGUGUGAUAGAUUUGAAUUACAACAAAGAAAGUGACAAGCUGAGCACUAAAAAAGAUCAUUCAAGAUCUCAAUUAUGAAGGUUAAAACCAAAGCAUAAAGCAUAUUAUACAUUACAGCAAAAUCUAAUCGAUCAUAGUCAAAGAUCUUACAUUUAUGCUCACCCCUAUCCUUGUGCAUAAAAACAAAAAAAACAAAAUUUGGUUUAAAAGCUACUAUUUAAAGUGUAUUAUACAUACAUACAUAUAUAUAUAUAUAUAUAUAUAUAUAUAUAUAUAAUUUCAUAUCAAAACCAUAAAAAAAAAUUAAGAUCUUAAAUUUAUGCUCACCCCUAUCCCUAUUUUUUGUAAUCAAGAUUCCUGAAAAGUAUGAUCUCAAAGCUACCGAUGUUAGAGAGAUUUGUACCGUACCAAAAUUUUAAUUCAUGUGCGCUAACUUGAAAAGCAAAUGAUCUGAAAUCAAAAUGGAACACAUGACUAGUGUGAUUAUGGACAUGGUGCAAGAAAAGGUUUUUACUCAAGAAAUUACUAGGAAACAAUUAGGUGAAAGAUGUUGUUCGGACGUAUAUUAGGAAUUUAAUGAUUAUCAAUUACAUGUUGAAAGCUAUAGAAAAUAUUAGUUUGGGAAGGUAUGUUCUUCCCAAACUAGCUUUAGAAAAUGUUAGACGGAGAAAUAUUGCAUUUGAGCAGGAAAUUGUAGUUUUACCUUUUCUUACUCCUGUUUCAAGAAAUUUGAAGUACUCUUCUAUUUGUGAAUAAUUUAAUAUUUCUUUGAGUGUAUUUUUUAUUAUUUCAUGUCAAAACCAUAAAAAAAAAAAAAACACUUAAAAGGGCAUAGUUUUGAUAUUUUUAUAGAAAAAAUUAAUUACAAAAUAUUUUCAACCAUAUUACUAAACAUGCAUCUAAGCCAUGACUCAUUUGUUUUUAGUUGGCGCAUGUUACAUGCUUCAACGACCAUUGAUAAUUUUUCUUAUUAUUAUUGAAUUUGUUUUAUUAAUUUUUUUUUAAUUGUAUUAAAAAUAUUAUUAUUAAAGUUUCAAUGUGUUUUAAAUUCUCUUUUCUCUUUCUUAUUGAAGUUUGUAAAACUAAUUUUUAUGUAUUUUUUAAAUAGAUGCACUUUCCAACUAUAAGAAUUUUAAAAAAUCACAAGUGGAAAUUGCUAUUUAUAUCAAAUUAGAUUAAUUUUAAAAUAUUUUUCUUUGUGUUAAUUAGCUUUUUAAAAAAACAAAAAAAAAUGUGUGAUUUUAUUUUAAAAAAACUCCCAUCUUAUAGCAUUGGAUUAGGAUAAAGGUGCUUUCAAAAUUUGUGCGUAGAAUAUGUUCUUUCUAAUUUUCCGAUCAAUGACCAUCCAAUGGGUUUCUUGUAACCAUCAUCAAUCCACCAUUGGAGAUAAGGUUUACAGGAUCAUAAAGCCUUGCCGUUUUGGCACCUGAUGCCAACAUUAUUGGCCUACAGAAAGACAAGUGGACAUCAAAACUACUAAAGGCCAAUCACCGCCAUGCGAGUAAAGAUAUGUUUCGGUUUGAAUUUUUUUUUUUUUUUAGAUCAAGGGAAUAUAAUGAGUCAUGUAUACAAAUAAAAUUACCGAGAUAACUGAUUUCGUUUGUAAAUCCAUCAAUAAAUUCAUUAAUAAACUGUUAACUUUUUCCUAAUACUAUUUAUCAUGUCAAUUACAAAUGAAAUUAUUGACGAAAUAUUCUAUUAAUAUUUCUUAAAAAACUUUGCAACUGUUUACUUUUUAAUUGCACUAUUAAUUAUUAUUCUUUAUAGAUAAAAUCACUGACGGAUUGAAAAUUCAUCAGUGUUAUUUGGUGGGUUUCUGAAAUUUUUUGAUUAAAUUAAAUAUUACAGACGGAAUCACCGAUAGAUUGAAAAGUCGUAGGUGAUAUUUGGCUAUUUCUAAAAAUUUUAUAUUAAAUUGAAAAUUUAAAUUAACUAUUACAGAAGGAAUAAUUGACAGAAUGAUUAAAAAUAUUAAUAUUUAAUUAUUCAUCGGUAAAACGCCCAAUAAAAAGACUAGAAUCCCUUAUUUCACAAUAGACGUGCCUCUUUUUUCUUCUUCUUUUUUUUUUUUUUUUUUUUUUAAAUCACAUCUCUUUCUUUCUCUUCUCUCCUCAACUCCUUAUUUUUUAUUUAAACAAUGCUAACUGGGUUGAGUCCACUGUUCCGGUUGGACCGGGUCCGAUUAAAAGCUAAAAAUGCAUUGAACUGGGUCCAAUCCAGUAAAAUAAAAAUAUUAAUUUUUUAUUUUUAAUUGUGUUUUAUUUUAAAAAAUAGUGUUUAACGUUAUUCAAUGACACUACAUAAAUUAUACGGGGAUUGCUUAAUGACGUAGUAUUUACAUAACUUGAUCGUAAUCCCCAUUUUAUUCCUGAUGUUGUUGCGCGCUUAAGAAACUAAGAAAACUGUAGUCCUUGUCGGAUGUAUUUCAUACGCGAUGAAAUUGUAGAUAGUUUAAUGAAACAAUAAAAAAUAUUUUAUAUAAAGUAUUUUUUAUUUUAUGAUGUAAUAGCAGUAGUUAAAUCUGUAAUAUUUAAAUUAAAAACCAUCAAUAUUAAUAUAUAUUUUUUGAAAUUAUUUUAUAACCUCAAUUUGAAAAGUAUUCUUAACCAAAUACAUUAAACUAUUUUUUAGUUCAACUUUAAUUUUAACCAAACAUAUAUAAAAUAUCAAACCAAUCUCAACUAAAAAUACUUUUUAUAAAAUAAUUUUUUUCAAAUCACAACCAUAAAAGCUAUCACAAUACCAAACACACUCCGGGUGCGUUUAUUUUCUAGAAAGUGGUUUUCCAGAAACCACUUUUCAAACUUUAUUGUAUUUGUUUGCCAUUAUGAAAGUUGGUCAACGAAAAACACUUUCCAGUCAAAGAAAAAUUUGGCUUGGUUUCUAGGAAAGUGUUUUCCUUUUAUUUUGGGCGGAAAACACUUUCCAGAAGUUGUGAAAAAUUUAGAAAUGUCAUAUUAUUUACUAAUUAUAUUAAAUUUGGUUCUCAAACUUUUGAUUGUUACAUAUAUUUUGUUUUGAAUAUUUGUUUUUCAAUUUCAUCCCUUAGAAUUGAAUUUUUAUAUAAACUUUGGUUCUUAUUUUUAUUUUGCUUUUCCCUUAUCAUUUUUUAAUUGGAAUUUUUUAUCUAUCAAAUCUGGUCCUCAUUUUUUUUAUUGUUAUUUAUUUUAUUUGAAAUAAUUUAUGAAAUGUUAAUUAUUAUUAUUUUAAUUUCUUCAUCUUUUAAUUUUUUUAUUUUUUAGAUUUGAUCUCUAUUAUUUUGAUUAUUAUUUAUUUUAUUUGAGAUAAUUUAUGAAAUUAUAUAUUUUUUUCAAUUUUAUUCUCAUUCAACUUUUUAAUUUGUAAGAUUUGUUGUUCAUUAUUUUAAUAAACUUGAAAAAAUAAAAUAUUAAUAAGUUAUUUUCCAGCUUAUUUUCCACGACAUAACCAAAUACUAGAAUGUAUUUUCUAACUUAUUUUUCAUUACAUUACCAAACAUUAAAAAAUAAUUUAUUUUUUUAGAAUUUAAUUCCUAAAAAAAAUUACUUUUCAAUAAAUAAACAGGGAUUUAACUAACACCUCCCGAGUCCUAACGGAUAUUAUGGACCCGCAGGGUACAUAUUGCCCCUCAUGAUCUUGCUUUCUUCUUCUAGGGCCCGCAUGUUGAUAUUGACCAUCUUGGGCACUUCCGUUCUCCAUUGCCAGAGACGUUCGAGGCAGUGAAGCUCCCCAUCCCGCAUUAACGGUGGUUCGCAUUGCGUUUUGAAAAUAUUUUAAAAAGAAAUUGAUUUUUCUUUUAGAUCAAGGGAAUAUAAUGGGUCAUGUAUACAAACAAAAUUACCGACAUAACUGAUUCGUUUGUAAAAUCCAUCAAUACAUUUAUUAGUAAACUGUUAACUUUUUUCUAACAUUGUUUAUCCUGUUAAUUAUAAAGGAAAUUAUUGACGGAAUAUUUUAUCGGUAUUUUUUAAAGAACUUUGCAACUGUUUACUUUUCAAUUGUACUAUUAAUUAUUAUUUUUUAUAGAUGAAAUCAUUGACGGAUUGAAAAUCCAUCAGUGUUAUUUGACGAGUUUCUGAAAUUUUUUGAUUAAAUUAAAUAUUACAGUCACAGAUGGAAUCACCGACAGAUUGAAAAGUCAUAGGUGAUAUUUGACGGUUUCUGAAAAUUUUGUAUUAAAUUAAAAAUUUAAAUUAACUAUUACAGACGGAAUAAUUAACUGAAUAAUUAAAAUAUUAAUAUUUAAUUAUUCAUCCGUAAAAUGCCUAAUAAAAAAACUAGAAUUCAUUAUUUCACAAUAGACUUGCCCUUUUUUUCUUCUUCUUUUUUUUUUUUAAAAAAAACCAUCAACAUCUCUUUUUUCUCUUCUCUUCUCUCCUCAACUCCUUAUUUAUUUAUUUAAACGCAGCUUUUGAUUUUUGCUUUAAUGCUACAUUUGUUUAUGAGAUUACGUCUGCGUUUGAAGCAAAACACAGGAGCAAUAUGUUUGGUAAUGAAAAAAACAUCAUUUACUGUUCAUGGACCCCAUUGUUAUCUGCCUUUGCAAUGGAGGAUGAGACAAAGUAGCUCUUCGUUGCUUCUGUGGAGAGUGAACAGUGGAGGGUGAGUCCACUGUUCUGGCUGGACUGGGUCCGGUUCAAAGUAUGCAUUAACCUAGUUCGAUCCAGCAAAAUAAAAAAAUUAUUUUUAUUUUUUAUUGUGUUUUAUUCAAUGUUUAAUAUUAUUCAAUGACAUUACAUAAACUAUAUGGGGAUUGCUUAAUGACGUAGUAUUUGUAGAAUUUAAUUUUAAUCCCACUUAAACUUAUUCUACUGUACACAUAACCCGAUGCUGCGGAUUAUGUUUUUUAUAAAAAAUAUUAAAAAUUUUAGCUGCAAAGCUAUACUAAAAAAUAUUGAGUUUGGCUCCAACACCUAAUCUAAGAGUAAUAUUUAUAAUGUUAAUAAUAAAAUUAAACUUGCAUGACUUAAGUUUAAGUGAGUCUGGCUAAAAGACCAGACCCAAGAAUAUUGGAUGUGAGUCUGGCUAUAAGAUCGUGUUAUAAAAAUAUGAUAAUUAAAUAGAUUAAUUAAAAAAAUAAAAAAAAAUCAACAGAAAGGAAAAAACUAAUAAAGAAAAAGAAAAAAAUUGAAUUAAUUAGGUUAACCCUUUAAACUAGGUUAUCCCGUAAAACCUGAGAUUCACGUCAUGAAAGUUUGAUAAUUAAAUAGAAAAAAAAAAGACUGGUUUACCCAGAAUUAACUGGGUUAACCCAUCAAACCAAGUUAACCCGUCAAGCCUAGGAUACGUGUUAUGAAAGUAUGAAAGUCUGAUAAUUAAAUAAAAAAAAUUGACUUUAACAAACUAAACUAAAUGAAAAAAAUAACUCAUCAAAUCAAGUUAACCUAUCAAACCCGAGAUCCGUAUUAUGAAAAUCUGGUAACUAAAUAAAAAAUUAACAUUAACAAACUAAAUCAAACAAAAAAAUUCAUUAAAAAAAUUAAAAAGAAAAAAAUAGUUAUAUAAUAUAAUGUAAUAUAAUAAUAAUAAUAAUAAUAAUAAUAAUAAUAAGUAAGUAUAUUAGUAAAAGGCAUGACAUGCCCACACGAUGCCGCGGGCUUGUGGCAUGCUUGUACAUUAUCGUGGAUUUGUGAAAAAAAUCAUAUAAAAAAAUAUAGUUAUCAUCCACAAUAUUUUAAAGAAAAAAACUACAAAGCUAUAUUCUCAACCAGUUCAAUAUUAAAAAAACAAAAUCGACAAAAACAAUUAUGAAAAAAAACACACAAAAAAUGAAAACAAGAAGAUGACAAUUUUGGAAGAAAAAAAACAAAAAACAAAUAAUAAAAAAAAAGGAAAAAAAACAUGUGGGGAAAGUUAAAGCUAAAUUUUCAAUCAUCUCAAUAUUAAAAUCAUUUAAAAAAACAUUGUAACGAUCUAAAGUGUUUUGUGUAAAAAUAUAUAACUAUAAUUGUUAACCAGCUCAAUAUUAAAAAAAAUCAAUAAAGAUAAUUUUAAUAGAAAAUAAUUGGAUGUUGACAAGAAGAAGUAGAAAAUGUGCAAGAAUAACCAAAAGCAGGGAUGAGGAGACAGCAGUGUUGGAUGAGAAAUGGCAAAGGUGAAAGUCUGGUGAUGGUCUUUACUGUUGCUAUUGAUCAAUUCUUCAUUACAUUAAAUGAAGGACGAAUUUUUUGCUUUUAGAAGGUGUGAUGUGUGCUUUAAACAAAAAACCCACCAUACCUCACAUAUUAAAGCGUGUUUAGUAGUAUGAUAAUAGUUACUUUUUAAAUAAUUUUUUAUGUUGAAAUGUAUAUCAAUGAUGUUUUUUUAUUUUUGUUAAAAAUCAUUUUUAAUAUCAGCAUAUUAAAACGAUCCAAAAAAUAUAAACUGUAUUAAAUUUUAAUAAAAAAAAUAAAAAAAACUUUUGAAUUUUUUAAAAACAUAGGUUGAACCGCGUUUCUAAACACUGCCUACGCUCGACUAUUAUAUUGAUUAGGCUCCACACGGUCGAGACUUGACUAGCUGUGCUUACAAUAAAGCAAUUCAAUUUUCAAAGAAGGAACAUGGCUGUGAUUUGAAGACAAGAUUUGUCUGCCGGUGUGAACCCAAACUUUUGUUCAAAAUGUGAGCCAAAAUCCAAUCUAAAUUAAAUUUUUGUUCAGAAUUGAAUUUUUAUAUAAAUUUUUGUUCUCAUUUUUAUUUUGCUUUUCCCUUAUCAUUUUUUAAUUAGAAUUUUUUAUCUAUCAAAUCUGGUCCUUAUUCUUUUAAUUGUUAUAUAUUUUAUUUAAAAUAAUUUAUGAAAUUAUUAUUAUUAUUAUUAUUUUAAUUUUUUCAUCUUUUAAUUUUUUAAUUUUUUAGAUUUAAUCUCUAUUAUUUUGAUUAUUAUUUAUUUUAUUUAAGAUAAUUUAUAAAAUUAUAUAUUUUUUAAUUUCAUUCUCAUUCAACUUUUUUAAUUUAUAAAAUUUGUUCCUAAUUAUUUUAAUAAACUUGAAAAAAUAAAAUAUUAAUAAGUUAUUUUCCAGCUUAUUUUCCACGACAUAAUCAAAUACUAGAAUAUAUUUUCUAACUUAUUUUUUAUUACAUUACCAAACAUUAAAAAAUAAUUUAUUUUUUUAGAAUUUAAUUCAUAAAAAAAAUUACUUUUCAAUAAAUAAACAGGGAUUUAACUAACACCUCCCGAGUCCUAACGGAUAUUAUGGACCCGCAGGGUACAUAUUGCCCCUCAUGAUCUUGCUUUCUUCUUCUAGGGCCCGCAUGUUGAUAUUGACCAUCUUGGGCACUUCCGUUCUCCAUUGCCAGAGACGUUCGAGGCAGUGAAGCUCCCCAUCCCGCAUUAACGGUGGUUCUUCCCAUGAUGUUCUUCUAACUUUUUCCAAGUCCUGAGAAAAUAAGCUUACAAAAAGUGAAGGUUAUAAAAUUGUCAUUCAGUAUCUUCCAGUUGAUGAAUAAUACUCAUAUCUCGUCUCGUAAUUAGACGUAAUGUAUAUAACGUGGCAUUAGUUAAUUGGAAUUAAAAUAGAUUGUUUUAAAAAAAUCACCAGCAGAAUUAGAUAUAAUAUUUUUAUUAGUUAUAUAAUAAGAUUUUCAAAAACGUUACUAGCAAAAUAAAACAAGUAAUUUUUUUUAAUGUUUUUCUGUCAGUAAAUUCAUCGAUAAUAAUAUUUUUUUUAUUACAAAUAAAUAAAAAAUUAUUGAUAAAAAUUUAUUGACAGAGGUAUUUUUAUCUAUAAUUUUGUUAAUAAAUUAAUUACUAAUAAAAUAAUAACAUAAAUACUAAUAAAAAAAUUUCAUUCAUAAAUAUAAAAAUUUUAAUAGUGGAUAAUGGCCUGGUAGAGCUCGUGUCUUGACAAAGUCUAAAAAUGACAAGUGACAAGUGACAAGUUGACAACUUGUCAAAUUCAUAUACAACUUGGUUGAGUAGCCGCACAAUAAAAAAAAAAUAAAAAAAAAUGCUGAUGUAUCAGUUUUAGUAAGAAAAUACCAGCAUUUAGAACCCUAUCGGACAUUCAAUUUCGUUUUAUUUGCGGUGAUAUGUUCUAUCAAUUCAUAAUUAUCGAUUCGAUUUAUCUAAUUAAUUUUUAUUUUUUUUAUAUAAUAAAAAACAACUUCGUUUAUUUAUGUUUAGUUAAUUAUUUAUAACUUUUAUGCCUAAACGAGCCUGGACUUAGAUCGAAUCAGAUGACGAGCCUGGUCUCAUAACUUAGCCUUGAAGUUUAUUCUGUUAGAUCAUUAUUGUUUACUGUGUUAGGCAACAGAUAUCCCUCUAUUCAUACUCAGCUUAAUUUUUCAAUUUCGACUUUUAAAAAUAUGGAGAGAUAUAUGUCAAAUUCCUAUCGGUUCUGAUUUUAAGGAAAAAUAAAAAUUUAUUAAGAAUUAAAAAAAUUCAAAAAUGCUAUUUUUAAUAUAAUUUGAAAAAAUAUUUUAAACUUUGUUUUAUAAAGCUAAAAAAUUACUAAAAAAUAUAUUUAAUUUAUAUUCAUGUAUACAACACUUGUUAAUUUAUUUAAUACUUGUUAAUUUAUUUUUUAACUUUAUUUAAAGCCAACAAUGAUUAAAAAAUAUAUUUAAUUUUUAUAACACUUUUUUAUGUAUUCAAUAAAAUUUUCGUGAAAAAUUAAAUUGAAAAAUCAUGGCUAUGAAAAAUAAAAAAUACUCAUUUACUCCCUCAAAUAUGUUUCAUCAGUAAAUCCAUAAUUUUUCUUCGCUGAAUAUCAUUAGAUUUUCAUAAAAAGAUAUGAUUAUAAAGGUGAACAUCUUAGUGAUUUUUUAAAUUUUAUUAUUAUUUUUAGAGUUCUUAAUAAGAUUUUUUUAAAAUUAGAACCAAUAGAAAUCUAACUCGUGUUCUUCCAUAUCUUUAAAAGACAAAAUUAAUGAAAUAUUAGGCUUACUCUGAACAGAGAGAUCUAUACUGCAUGCCUAGUAGACAAAAUCAUAGAAACCCAAUUAUAUAAAUUAAAACCAUGAGGCUAUCUUUAUCAAAUAUCAAUAUAUCAGAGAGAUUCAUAGUACCAUUAAACCAAAGUUAUACCUAAACUUGUCAUGCAAUAAAACACGUGCAUAUUCAUACAAUAAAAAUAAUAAAUAGACGUAUUUCUCCCUUUCUAUUACAAAGAUCAUUGCAAUACUUAGUCGAUGUAAACGGAAGGGAUGUGAGCUAUCUUAGGCCAGUCCUCUCCUCGCUCCUUCUCGCACCUUUUCUUCAAAUUUGGACAAUUGCGCGAAUCAUCAACUCGCUGAGGUUGCUGAGACUCUGUAGCCCUUCUGGCAAACAUACCAAAUUAGGGCAAUACUGAAUUUCCAGGCGUGAAAGGGAUAUGAGAUAACCAAUUUGAUUUGGCAAGGAAGUUAAUCCCUUGCAUUUAUUGAGUCCUAGAUAUCGGAGAGAAGUAAGAUGUUGGAUACUCUUUGGCCAUGAAUUCAGCUCUGGACAAAAUUCAAGCUUCAAAAAUUCAAGUGCCGUCAGAUAUUGCACUCCCUCGGACAGAGACACAAAUUUAUCACAUUUUCUAACAGAUAAUAUACGAAGAGAAGAUAAGCCGGACAACCCAUUCAUUGGCAGGGUGUAUAAUCUUGUACAACUAUUUAUAUCUAAAAUCUCCAAAGAAGUGAGUUUUCGAAGACCUUCCUCUGGCAAGCUUUCAAGUUCAUCAAAAUGCACGACACUCAACCUUUUAAGAGCUGAAAGGUUGUCAAAUACCUUGUCAAAAGACGGUAGAUUUCUCAUCCAACCCAUACAUAAGAACUCGAGGAGUGUAUGAUUUUGCAAGAACCCAUCUGGAAGCAGCCUCACAUCAAUCCCUCCAAUAUCAAGGUAUGUGAUAGAAGUAAAUUUCAUAACUGACAUCAGUAACGAAGCAUUGCCUCCAUCGAUGAAUAACCUUUUGACGGAAGGUAUAAUUGGUAUUUCGGUCAACAAGGGGCAACGAACUACAGAUAAUUCUCGAAGACGAGGAAAACUACACGGAGCCCAUUGCUCUAGUCUCUUCAUUGAAAUAAAUUUCAGCCUCUCCAAAGAUGGGAAUGGAUUUUGCUCAUCUCCAUACACAUGGCUGUCAAUACACUUCACACCAUCCAUUCCAUCUAGUUCAAGAUUCUUGAGGAACUGUAAUUUCCCAAAUGGUGGAAGUUGUUCACAGUUGCCACAUGCUGUUAGCUUCAUCUCUACUAGAUUCGGUAGCAUCAAGUUCAAGUUCAUCAUCCACUUUGGAAAUUUUGAACCCCCAUAUCCAAUUAAUCUCAAUUCUUCAGAUUUGAAUGAGGUUGAAGCCCAUCAAGGACAUCCUCAUUAUUUUCAGCUGAUUGCACACAAGUAAAAGGGCGGCGACCUCCAUUCUCAUUCCAAGAUAAAUUCAGUGAUAGAAGAGCUGUCUUCAACUUCAAAUUGGCACUUCUGGCAUCUGUUAAAUUCUUAACAGUAACAAGAUCUGUGAUGCUUAGUUCACCAGCAAGAUUAUUCAGCCUUUCUAGCUCCCCUAAGUGACGACCAUCCUCCUUACCCACAAUGAACAGGCCAAGUUUUCGCAGGCAUGUUAAUUGCCCCAUUCCAAAUGGCAUAAAUCGAAGUGAAUGACAGCCCGUGAUGUCAAGAUAGAUGAGACUUUUCAUAUGCUUCAUACCUCUAGGUAAUUCGAUGAGCCGUGUACAAUGACUCAGAUUUAGUGUCUGAAGAUUUUGGAGGGAGGUGAUUGAUGCAGGCAAUUUUUUAAUGUCGGAAUUGGAGACAUCUAGAAACCUUAGAUGUUUCAAAUAACAAAUUGACUUUGGCAAUGUAUCGGGAUAGAUACCUAUAUGCAAGGCUCUCAGAUGCUUUUGUUGGGUGAAAUAAAGAUGCAAAUCAUCAGUGUGAUGAUAAACUCCAGAAAGCAAAAUUGAGCGUAGUGACAGAGAUUUGAAAUCCUUGUCUUUUGGAACAAACCGUGAUGCCAUGUAUGCACCCACAUGACGAAUUGUUUUAGGAAUUUGCAACUGUGUAUUGCCCUCAAUCAAACAACAUUCUCUCUUCAUAAUGUACUGUGCAAGAUCAUGGAUAAGAUCGUGCAUUUUACAUGAUGUGCCCAGCCCAUCAUCCAUGACUUCUUGAAAAAAAGACCUCCCAACUAAUUCGUGGAAAAUCUCUUCACCCUUAUCGUGCAAAUCCAUUUGCCCAGUGCUCGAAAUGAAGCCAUUUGCCAUCCAUAGAGCUACCAACCGCUCCUUCCGAAUGACAUAAUCUUUGGGGAAUAUAGAGCAAAAUGCAAAGCAUUGCUUCACAGCUGGCUUUAGAUUCAUAUAACUCAAACUCAAGGCAGGUAAUAUCUGGCUUCCUUCAUUUGGCAGAUCCCAAAUCUCACUUUCUUUGACAGACAGCCACUCCCUUUCA